rnacentral:lncRNA from 1 species
UACACUUUGAUACUAUAGCCAGGCAUGUAAAUAGAAUAAUGAUAUAUGGUUGUUACGUACCCGAAUCUACUCCCAGCAUGACCAGUAAGCUUAGAAAUGGUAAAUAUCAUGAGGUCUUCAUCUGCAGGAGCAGGAAUUGGUGUGAAAUGCGGCCAAUAAUAGGCAUGAUCGUAAAUGGGUUUGACAUUAGGGCCUUGAAGAACUGCCUUAUUCAACUUUCCAUCAGGAUUAUUGGGUGCAGUCACAAACUCGAUGAAAUUGGAAGUGGGAUCUGAAGUACUGUUCUUCCACAAGGAUGUGUCACCUGCAAACUGGAAGUCCACUGAUCGAAAGAAGUCUGUUUGUGAUUUAUAAACCUGCAAUAUGAGAAUUAGAACCCUCAAGUUCACAUGAAUAUAUAGAAUAUGAAUGAAGUUCAGGCACUAGGACGAACCGGGUAAAAGGGGAUUGUGGCAACAACUUUAGCUGGAGCAGAUGAAUUAUGGGGUGAGAGGGCAUGAACUGCAGCAUUGAGAAGCUGGGUAGAGCCGGCCCCGAAAACAAUGAAUCUGCCUGUUGUGUUAGCAUUUCCAACAAUGGCAUGUAGCUUGCGGAUGAGCUUCACUAGUUCUUGUGAGAUUGAGGAAUGAUCAUUGAAUGAAUAGCUCAUUCGAUGCCAACCCGCUACUAAUACUGCACUGCUAGCUGCAUGCUGCAUCCAGAAGGGCUCCAAGAACAGCGGAUCCCCGCUGCAGAGUGUCGAGAAUAAUCAAAUACUAUUAGUAUCAGUGAUCCUGUUAUGAAAAUCAUAAUGAGUAUGAUGCUGGUAAACAUGGUUUUGAGGGAAUUUAUCGGUGUGGUAUGUAUGAUGAGAUUAACGGGUUUAAAUGUAGAGUGACCUUACAAAUUCUCAUUGUAAGUAGCUUGUCACUUGUCACUUGUCACUUCGUGGAGAAAUGAUAGUCAAUUGGAAAUGCUCUCUCAUUCAUACCCAGUUAGAAGAUUUUUCCGCGGAUUGACUAGAAAGCUUAGCCUUGAAUUACCCUUGGUUAUGGGCACCAAUUUUAUUGAAAUUAACUCCUAGUUGUGCAAAACAUUGCAAGAGGAAGAUGAUUUAUGACAAAAAUAGCUGAAAAUAAUGGGUGCACUUUUUUUACAGAAUAGAGUAGUUGGCUAAUUAGAUUAUGUCGCUAAACAUUUUAUGUCUCAUUAUUUUGUUUUAAGCCUUGUCCUAUGACUUUUUAUCUUGAUCUCAUUUUUUUAUACCUCAAUUCCAAUUAGAUGUCUGGUCCUAAUUGUUUGUAUCUUCAUCCAAUAGUCUAAAUUUCACUGUACACAUUCAAUGACGGAUAUUGAAAGUCCAAUAGGUACCAAUUUGACACCUACCAUUUUCCUAACAUAUAAUAGAUAGUUUUACUCAAAAUUUAGGUCAUUUGUUUAUUAUAAUUAAGCUUGUUUGGAGUCUACUCAUUAUUAUUGGAUAUAUAUAUAUAUUCCAAGUAAUGUGCCAAGGAAAUAAGCACCAAGUAUUUAAUUUUUUGCAGUUAAAAUCAUAAUUGGGAAAGUUCGGUUAACAAAUAUUUGCAAUAAAUUUAAUUUAAAUUUAAAAGACUAUGAAAUUAAACUAAUUUUUUAGAAUUAUAAUAAAACCCUUAUAAAAUAAUACUCUUGGGACCCAAAAAAUUAUUGUCCAUCUUGGCCUGCCACGGGGAACUUGACUGUCCAUCUUCCACAACCAAAGACAAAAUAAAAUAAAGAUAAUAAGUUAAGAAAAAUAUCAUUUUCCCACUUGUCGAUUUUAUCAAAGAAGACAUUUUGUUCACAUGUCAAUUUCUAGGCAACUCUUUCCUUCUUCAUCCUUCAGUUUCUUUCAUCGUUUUAUGUAUUUGGCACUUUUUCUUGACGCUGUCAUGCACGAACCAUUCAUGAAUUAGACCUUCUACUCCUUUUAUGUAUUUAUUUAUUUUGUUUGUUAGUUAGUUUUUUCUUGACACUGUCAUGCAUGAACCAUUGAUCACCAUCACUUUGCCGGUUCAACCAGUUUAAUUUGAUAUGAUAGAAUUAUAAUAACCAAGAGGAAAUAGAAAGCUGAAUCCUAAAGUUUUCACCACAAUGAUCAAUAUGCUGGUUUCACAUAGGACCCAAUGCUGCAGAAAUAGAAGAAUUAAUCAUCGUCAACCCCAUAUUUGGUGAACUUCCAAGUUUUAGCUUUAACAUAGACUUAAAAAAUCUUCUAACUUUCCAGACUUUGGACAAAUCCAAUCAUUAAAUGAUAGAACUCUGAUAAUUAAAAUCCCAGUCUCAGAAAGAUCUGUAUAUACAUACCUGUCAACAUCUGCAACACAAGAAGCUGAAAAUUGAGAGCAAUCAGGGCCUCCAAAGCAGGUAUUGCACUCACAAACAGGACUUCCAUCAACAACCAAACCAUCCAGGAAUGCUCUUCCAUGGCCCGAGCAUGACACUGCUGCCACUGCUUCUGCUUCUUCUGCUGCCCUUCUGCUCCAACCCACCUCCCACUUCCCACCCACAUACACAUCUCUCCCCACAAAAAGUAUGUUAAGAGUCACAGAACACAGCAAACACACAACAUACAUGCAGCUUUGAAUCUUACCCAUGUCUUCUUAUUAGCUAAAAGACCCCCCACUUAUAUUUUAUUGUUCACUUUGUAAGAGAAAGAUGAACAGUUCGGAGGAUGAGCGUGGGACUUUUGACACCCUUUGUUUUUGUUUCUCUUUUUAAUUGUACAUGAAUGCAAAAAGUUGCAGUAAGUUGAAUGGUGUUAUAAAGGAUCACACCACAAUUCGUCUGCUUUGAUAUCCUUCUCAAGAUUUUCCAUCUUCCUUUUGUUUAAUAUUUUUGUUGUUUGAACUUUCUUAGUGAUUUUGUUUUUCUGCCUUUGGCGGCUUAAGGAAGAAAGUUUAAACUUUAAAUGUUAUCCAGUUCAAAGAAAUAGUUUGCACGUCAAUAGGGUGGAAAAUUCUAUGACAACGAAAUCUGAAUCCAUCUUAACCAUUGAAUGUUAGAAGUCAAAAGACUGAAUAUGCAUAUGUUCAAUGGCGUGUAAGAAUAUUAAUCGUAGAAUUUUCACUAUCAUAUUCCUUUUUGCUUUUAAAGGUUACAGCUGUGAAUAUAAUCAAUAUAUAUUUUUGGGUAAUUACUAUUAUCCAGAAAAAACUAAACCUUUGAAAAAUGGUCUUAUCGUUCUCUUAACAAGAUAAAGAUUGCUGACUUGGCCAAUAGUCAUUAAUUGGAGUCCCAGUCAAAGCACCUUUUUUUAAAAGGUUGUUCUUUGAUACCCGUACCUACCCACAUUUGACCCAAUAAUAAAAUAACAUGUUAUUAAAAAAUUUACAAAAAUUUAUUAAAUCGAUGAAGAUGAUUUAUUUAUGAGAAAUAAUUAUAUGUAUUUCAUAUAUAUUUAAAUAUUACAACUUUUUUUUAUAAUUUAUUAUUAAAUAUUAAAUAUAAUUUAUUAUUUAAUGAACUACAUAACUCUAUCUAAAAAAAAUUCUACCAACUACCCUUAUACAAAAAGGGAUACUAAUUUAAUAUGAAAAUUAAAUAAUUUCAACUACCAUAUUACAAAAUAUAUGAGAUGUAUUUUGAUAAAUUAAAUUUGAAGAUCAAGUUUGAAACUUUUUUAGAGAGAAAAUUUAAAAUUUGUAUUCUAUUAAGAAGAUGAAGGAUUUCAAGUGAUUACAAGUGUCACAAGUAAUAUUUGAUAUUUUUUUAUUUAUAUAUAAAUUUUGUAGGUAGAAAUGUUAUGUUAAAUAAUGAAUAUGUAAUGAUUUAUAAAAUAUAAAUUUUAGAAUUUUUUUAUGAGUUUAUUAUUAAUCAAAUUAAGAUAAUUUAAUCUUUUGUUAUCAAAUUGUUAUUAAUAUUUUUAUAUCAUUUUUUUGUGUGUUCAUAGAUUAAAUUUGAAGAUGAAGUUUUAUAUGUCUUGAAGAAGACAGUAUAUGAAGUAUGUCAAGUGAUUAUAAGUGUUAAAAGGUAACAUUUGGUAUAUAUUUUUUUUUUCAUUUAAAUGUAAAUGUUGUAGGUAGAAAUGUCGCGUUAAAUGACAUUUAAAUAUGUAAUUAUUUAUAACAUUUAGAUUUUUUAAUUUUUUUUAUGAGUUAUUAUUAAUCAAAUUGAGACCAUUUAGUCAUUUGUUAUGAAAUCGUCAUCAAUAUUUUUAUAUUAUUAUUUUGUGUAUUCGUAGAUUAAAUUUGAAGAUGAGGUUUUAUAUAUCUUGAAGAAGGAAAACAAUCAUUUUUGUCUCUUGGGAAGAUAUUAUAUGAAAAUUUCCAAUUUAUUACAAGUGUUAAAGGUAAAAUUUGAUUUUUUAUUUAUUUAAAUAUAAAUUUUGUAGGUGGAAAUGUUAUGUUAAAGAGGGUAUAAACAAUGUGAGAAGAGUGACAAACAAUGUGAAAAGAGGGUACGAAUAAUGUAAAAAAAUGGUACAAACAUUGUGAGAGAGGGUGCGAACAUUGUGAGAGAUGGUACAAACAAUGUAAAAUAGAGUACGAACAUUAUGAGAAAUGGUACAAACAAUGUGAGAAGGUGUACGAAAAUUGUGUGUGUGUGUGAGAAAGAGAGAAAGAAAGAAAGAAAGAAAGAGAGUGUGUGUAUGAACAAUGUGGGAGGUGGUACAAACAUUGUGAGAAAUGGUACGAACAUUGUGAGAGAUGGUAUGAACAUUAUGAGAGAUGGUACGAACAUUAUGAGAUGGGGUACAAACAUUGUGAGAUGGAGUACGAACUUUGUGAAAUAGGAUACGAACUUUGUGAAAGAAAGUACUAAUAUUGUGAAAUGGGGUACAAACAUUGUGAGAUGAGGUAUGGACAUUGUGAGAGGAGGUACGAACAUUGUAAGAAGGGGUACGAACAUUAUGAGAUGUGGUACGAACUUUGUGGAGUGCGUAUGAACUUCGUGAGAGGGUGUACAAACUUUGUGAGAGAUUGUACGAUCUUUGUGAGAGAUGGUACGACCUUUGUGAUAGAGUGUAUGAACUUUGUGAGAGAUGAUACGAACUUUGUGAAAAGGGAUACAAACUUUGUGAAAUGGGGUAUGAACUUUGUGAGAGAAGGCACGAACUUUGUGUGAGAGAGUAUGAACAUUGUGAGAUGAGGUACGAACAUCAUACGAACUUUGUGAGAAUGUGUACGAACUUUGUGAGGAUAUGGUACGAACUUUAUGAGAUAGGGUACAAACAUUAUGAGAGAGAGUACGAACUUUGUGAGAUGGGGUAUGAAUUUUGUGAGAGAUGGUACAAACAUUGUGAGAUGAGGUAUGAAUAAUGUGAGAGAGGGUACAAACAUUGUGAGAUAGGGUACGAACAAUGUGAGAAUGGGUACAAACAUUGUGAGAGGUGGUACGAACAAUGUGAGAUAGGAUACGAACAUUGUGAGAAUGGGUAUGAACUUUGUGAGAAAAUGUACGAACAUUGUAAGAGGUGGUACGAAUAUUUUGAGAAAGUGUACGAACGUAUUUAGGGAUUAUAAAAUAUUACUCAUAUCUUUAUUAUAAAAAAAAGGGUUAUUUGGAUAGGUAACUCAAAAUAAAGGUAAAAUUGUAAAAGUAACCUCACCAGUUAAUUGUUUUGAGAGAUGACCUAAUUUAGACAUUUUUACCCUUAUUUAUUUCCCUCCAAAAACACAUAAGAUCCCCACCAAAUACAUGAUAUCCCUCCAAAAGCAAAAAAAAAACUUUAGUUUUACCUCUCUCAUCGGUACUACAUCUCUCUCACCAACACUAUGAGUACAUCCCUAUACACUAUCUCUGUAACCCACCAAUAAAAUUGAGUGAAGAGAAGCAGAAAAAAGUAGAGAAACAUAGAAGAGUAAGAUCCCCCACCAAAGACAUGAUAUCUCUCCAAAAGCAAAAUAUUUUAGUUUUACCUGUCUCAUCGGUACUACAUCUAUCUGCAUAUCUCUCACUAACAUUGUGAGUACGUCCCUAUACACCAUUACUGCAACCCACCAUAAAAAUUGAGGUAAUAGAAGCAGAGUAGAUUCAAAGAAAAACAUAUGGUGAGGGCAAAUGAAGGUAUGUAAACCCAUUUGGGAAAAAAAAUUACCUUAGUUUUGCUAUUCUCAACAUUAUUUGGUUGUAGGGAAAAAAUGAAAAUUUUAGAGUAAACAUGAGUGAAAUUUUUUGUAUAAAAGAUUUGUAUGAAAAGAGUAAAGUUUGUAUUUAACAUGUAAAAACUGGACGUAACUAGUGCUAAGUUCUUUAUAUAUAAAACUUGAAGAUAGUUGAGUACAAUUCAACAUGUUCAUCGACAACUUUGCGGGAUUGAGUUACUUAUCCAAAUAACUACUAUUUUAAUAUUGUUUUUUUGUAUCCAUAAUUCAAUUUAUUUAUUUAUUUUUGUUACAAUGAUUGAUGAAGUGGGAAUAAUGCUUUUGUAUGAAGGAGAUUGGGUGCAAAAUGGAAACAUGUACUACUUUAAAGGUUGCCAAGGUAAAGGUAUUGAACUUAAGAAGACUACAACAUAUGAAGAAUUAUUGAAGAUCGUUUGUCACAUUUUAAAAGUAGAUCCAACAUAGCACAAUCUUUCAAUGAAGUAUGUAUUCAAUGGCAAUAUACCAUCCACUCCUAUAUAGGUAAGAGAUGAUGGAGAUGUGAAAUUUUUCAUUCGUUUAAAUUGUACUGAUGGUAAGUUGCCAGUUCCAUUGUGUAUCACAAUAAAGAAAAGAAGUGGCAAUCAUGGUUAUGAAUCAAUCAUCAACACUGAUUUUGGCUCUCAUACUUCAUCUGGGGUUGAGAAAGAAAUCAAUAUGGACCCAAUAUUCAAGAGAUGCAAAGAGAUCUUCCUAUUUUGCAGUUAAUUGAAGAGUUAAGAAAUUUACUUCAAAAAUGGUUUAUAAACCGUAAACAAUAAGCAUUGUCAAUGACAUCUGAGCUAACAACAUGGGCAGAUGGAGAGCUUCAUGUAAGGUAUAAUACAUCAUCAACAUAUGAAGUUGAAGCAAUCAACUUGAUGGAGUAUAUGUGGACCCGCAUUUUUCACGUGCGCCCCCACUCGAUCGGCGAGACUUGCUUUUCAUUUGUGAAAAAUUAUUUUUUGGAAAAAAGUUGGAGCCGCCACUUAUUUUAUUUUAUUUUUGAAAGGGAAAAUAAAACAAGAAAUAAAACCCUAAAAAAUGACUCCAUAAUUUUUGGAAAAGCGUGUCUUUGAAAAACCUGAGUCUAAGUCCGAGGAUCAGGUUACCUAUUGGGAAGGUACCUUUAAAAGGUAGCACCCCUCUAAGCCCUAAAGAGGUCUCUACUGACUAAAUUGAGGGAAGUGUGACAAUUAAUUGGUUAAUUAUGGAUACCUAAGUAAGCUGGGUGAUUCUAGAAAAUAGCAUGCUAAAUAAAGAGAUCAAUCACAAUAAAGGAGAGUUGGGGUGCGUACCUAAAUCACUUCUUGAGUGCUAUCACAAAACAUCAAAGGUUAGUGUAGGAAUCUAUCACACAACAUAUGUCUUAUCCGAGCAAAUCUAAUAUAUAUUUAAACACCCAAGAAUCACAUCAUGCAUGGAUGUAGUCACCAAUAGCAUACGUGUCUAUAGAAUUCUCAAAAAAAAAAUGAGAAAGAGUGCACCUAGAUAGCAAGCUAAAGCGCCUUUAUGGGAAGCAAGGUUAGCCCAAUAACAAAUAUAAAACAAAUUCAAGCAUAUCUCCAAGAGGAAUCAAAAUCAAUUAAAUACCAAACAAUCAUCUUUAAAAUCAAAAUUAGUGAAGAUAUCAAGAAUGUAGGACCCCCACCAAAGUCCAUAUUACUUUUGCACGAAUUGAUUCAAUGAAUUCCAUUGUUUGGAAUCAUGAAGUUUGUUCAUGCUUGGGAAAAUCAAGAAAAUCAGUUGAAAAUCAAAUAAAAUAGUGAAAACGCGUGCCGGAAGGAAAAUAGCAGCAAAAGAGUGUUGAAGUCUGGAUUUUAUUGCCUAGAGAAGGUCUAAAGAUGAAUUUUUCAAAGUUGAGAAUGUUUAGUUGAACAAUGGUUCAAAAAUUCAAUUUAAAACAAUAAGUUCCCAAUCAAAGAAGUGAAUAGAGGAGAAGGUGGAACGUCGGCCGGAUAGAAUUGCGGCUGUGAGAUAUCCGGAGAGAGUGGGAUGUCGGCCGGAUAGAAUUGCGAUUGUGAGACAUCCGGAGAAAGUGGGAUGUCGACCGGAUAGAAUGGCGGCUGUGAGACAUCCGGAUAAGAGUAGAAUAUUGGUCGGGUAGAAUUCCGGAUGUGAGACAUCCGGGUGGAAUUAGUGAGAAUUUUCGUCCGGGUGGAAUGAGCGAUGCCAUAAACUAAGAACCCUCAAGAACAAUGAUAACCUCUGCAUCUGUUUAACUCCAAGAAAACCCAUUUUACACAGCCUUUAUCAAGUUCCCAACUUUCUCAGAAUGCUCAUGAUCUCCAUAUCCGAGAAUACCAAGGUAAAGAAAGGGAAGAAAUGUAGAUACAGAAGCGCGCAAAAAGACCAAGAAAGAAAAGAAAAGAAAAUAAAACGGGAGAAAAUAAGACAGUCAGUGGGUAUUUUAAAACCAGAUUGGGACAUAGAUGGGGGCAAAACCCAUAGCAUCAAAUUCAAAGGUAAACUUAUAUUCAGAUUGCUUUCGGAUGGAACCAAAGACAUUAAAAGGAAUAUAUUAAAAUAGCAUAAACAUGCAAGCAAACCAGUCUUAACUAAUCAAAUUGUGGCCCUUGCGUCCACACCAAACGACAAGAAUGAAUCUUCAAAAAACUAAGAAGUCAAGAAAGAUUGAAACUAAAUGGUGAUAUAGCAAAAAUCUAGAAACAUACUUGCACGUUCUCCUCUCCAAUUGCUUGGUUCCAGGCUGCUGCACCUUUUCUCGACUGAGAAAUCUACUCCCCAAACCUUUUUCUGUCCACCAAUCUUCUCCUUCUCUAUACGUAUUCCAAGUCCCUCUUUUCUAUGCCUCCUUUCAGACGAUCCUCCUAUGCACCUUUUCAGACGAUCCUCUCAUGCACCCUUUCAGACGAUCCUCUCAUGCCCCCUUUCAGACGAUCCUCUCAUGCCCCCCUUCUUUUCCCUUUCCACUUAUAUUUGUAUCAGCCUCUCGAACCAAAUAUGCUAAAGAAAAUCCACUUUCCUUUCUUCUAUUUCCUUUCCUUUUUCGAAAAUCAAAAUGCUCCUUUAGGAUCUCUUAUUUCCAUAUGUAUGCAGCCACAUUAAUUCCUUUUUCCCUCACAAAAUAUUUUUCUUACGUUUUUGAGUGCACAUACCUUAGUGAGAUUUGAAUAGUAGCCCUCAUUCUCUUGCCAAACAAAAAAAACGAAAAUAGAGAGAAUAAAAACAAAAAGAGUUAGCAAUCUUGCAACCUGUCAAAGAUUAAAAUAAAAUAAAAAUAAAUAAAGUAAAACAAAAUAAUUGAAUAAAAUAGUCAAUCCUGUGCGGGCCAUGCAAGUCACACAAAAAGUGAGUCUAAAAGUGCUUAUUGGGCCAAGUGUGUCUAAAUGGGCCUAGAGCGGUGCCUAAUGGGCCAAGUGUACCUAAAAGCUAUCCUAAAAAAGAACGAAAAAAAAAAUCCUAAGUCUAAAGUAGGGCUGCCAAGAGUCACAAUAAGGGGUCGGAUAAUCCCUCAACCAAAAUCUUCGAGGUGGCUCAGAAAAGGGUAAGUUAUACGAGUAAUAACGGGCCGCUAAGGAGUUACUGUGGAGCACUGAAAACAAAUUUAAAGACAUGUGCUAAAGGGAAAAAAUUGAGGGUCUACAGUAUAAUGUUAAAUAUAAUGGUGCCAGUGAUCAUGUGAAUUUACAUAAUCAUUCAUGCACAUGUCGACAUUUUGAUCUUGAUCACAUACCGUGUUCACAUGCUAUUCUUUAUGCUCCAAAUAUUACACAAUGAACUCAUUAUUAUCUUCAUAUGCUGAGUCCAUCUAUCCUCAUGGACAUCAAAGGGAUUGGAUGAUAGCUAACAAUAUAAGCAGUAGAGUUGUAUUACCACCGAAAACAAGGCGGUCAACAGGAAGACUAUGGAAUGAAAGAAUCUCUUCGGGUGGAGAGAGUAAGCGCAGACGGCGGAGUGCUCGCUGUGGUGAUUAUGGUCAUAAUCGAAAGUCAUGAAAAUGACCAUUCUCCCUGCAUUAUCAUAAUGGUAAUAGUGGACACACUGAAAUAGGCAUGCAAGAUUGCUCCUUACAAUCAGAGAAUGAAUGAAACUGUCACUAAGCCAAUUUUAUGGUGAAUUUUUUGUUGUUUUUUGUAGAUGAUGAUUGGGCAUAUAAAAGAUUUGAUAUUUUAAUUUUUUUUGUAUAUUGUGAAUAGGGGCACAAAACAUGUAAUCGUACUUUGAUUCAGUCUCUUUUAAUUGAAUGAUGAACUUAAAGCUUAAAAAUGAAGUUUAAGUUCAUCCCUCAAUACCAACUCAUUUGAAAUGACAAGUGAACUCUUUAUUUUUUUAGAAUACUAGUGUCAUUAGUAUUUGAUCAUACAUAUUUGGAGAUGUUUUAAUCUUUUAUUGAUGUUAAGAUCAGACACAUUCUGUAUGUUGAGAUCAUUCAUAUAUACAACUUUAAUUGAGGAUUUUCACCUAAACUGCACUAGGGUUAAGUUUCUUUUACAAAGAACUUAACAAUGGCUAAUUUUAAGUUAUAAAAACUUACCUGAACAAAAGUGAAGUUAAGUUUUUUUACUAAAGAACUUAGUGAGAGUUAAGUUUUAAUUGAGGAUAUUCAACUGAACUGUAUUAGGGUUAAGUUUAUUUUCCAAAGAACUUAACAGUGGUUAAGUUUCAAUUAAAAAAAAAUUUACCUGAACAAAACUAAAGUUAAGUUUUUUUUUAAUAAAGAACUUAAUAGGAGUUAAGUUUUAAUUGAGGAUAUACACUUGAACUACACUAGGGUUAAGUCUAAUUUACAAGUAACUUAACACUCGUUAAAUUUGAAUUAAAACAAAUGUCCUGAACUUAACUGUAGUUAAGUUUUUUCAAUAACUAACUUAGUAAGAGUUAAGUUUUAAUUGAGGAUGUUCACCUAAACUGAACUAGGGUUAAGUUUAUUUUACAAGUAACUUAACACCCGUUAAGCUUGAGCAAAAAAAUAUGAGCUCUACAUUGAAAUAUAAGUUUCUAUUAUUACGAUUACUACAAUAAAUUCAAACUUGUUAACAAUCAUAACACAGUCACAUUUAUAUAUAUAUAUAUAUAUAUAUAAAUGCAACCAUUUACUUCUCUAGAUGUAUGAAAAACAUGUAACUAUUUAAAUAUGUGCUAUAACAUAGGAAUUUGCUAAACAAAAACUUCAAUGUCAUUACAUAAAAAUAUCUUCCACUAUCUAAUUACAAUCCAUUUACAAUAGUAGGAUCACAUAGGAAGUUCUUUAUGGAAAAAUAACUCCAAUGCCAUCUUCUCACGAAACCAAUCCAUUCGCUCACCUGUUAGUGUAUCCAUUGGAUGGUUGUGCAUCAGGUAUUUUGCAAAUUUGAUCAAAAACAUACCACAAUCACCACUACAUGAACACACAAAAUGUGAUGUUAUCAAUGUUAAAGGACCAUCCUUACUUAUAGAAAGCAUAUGGUAGAAGUAUUUUAGUUAUGCAUAUGCAUCAUCUAACUCAAUAUUUUAGUUGUGAAUAAUAUUUCAAUCCUUAGUUGGGAUCAUUCUUUGUCAUGACUUUUGUUAGAGAUUACUAUUUCAAUGUUUUGGUUUGCAUUGUAGGACCAACUAGGUCCCAAAUUUAGCAAAUGUCACUCAUGAUCUAGUAAAAGCAAACUAGGUUUAGACCUUGAUGGGGUGUUUCUUAAUGUUGGUUCACAUCCAAGGGAAAGCAGAGAUUUUCUUCUCAAUCUAUACAAGUAAAAUGGAAUUGUAGAUAGGAAAGGGAUGCAAAUUGUUUGAUGAAAAUUGAGAUUUUUAGUUAAACCAACUUCUUAUCCCUUGGGAAAAGAACUACAAAUAGGAAAAGAUUUUUUUUCCCAAACUACUAAAAAACUAAACACCCAAUUGGCAAAGACUACAAUGAUCUCCAAUUUUGUCAUUGAUAGAAAAGAAUGACUAUUCAUGUAUAUCAUAUUGGUUCCAUUACUUUAAAGUUAAGCAACACAAAAGGAGAAUAAUUGACAUGAAUGCUCAUAGAAGAAGUAUUGUUUUCACUUUUUGAUAGGAGCCAAAACUACUCUAAAAAAAGGGUUUUGAAUUUUGGAAAAGAAAUCAAAACCAUUCUUCCAACACUACUCAUGGAAAAAAACUUCAGCAACACCUUCAAUAUCUCUACCUAGGGGGUUUAAGGAAACAAAUUCAUCUUCCUAUGAGACGAAUGAAAUGUUUCUUCUAAUCACCAAGGAGGAGAUAUCAAAAUGAGGGCAAAUUCUAUUUCUCUUAUUAUGAUUCAACUCUUUAGAAGACCAAAUUGAUCAACACAUUUGUCACUUUUCUACUAGAUUUCUACACUAUAGAAACAGAGCAUUUGCCACAACAUCAUGCUUCAAAAUCUUAACAACUAGAGCAAAACAUCAAAAUAAAAUAGCUAAGAAACCUAAUUAAAGACAUUUUUUUUUUCAAUUCAACUAGAUAUCUUCUUUGGUAGACUAAUGUAUUUUCAGAGUUCAAAAUCAAAGAGGAAUAUGCUAACAAAUUUAAGAAAAACCCUUAUAUUUAUGCUUAACAAAAAGUGAACAUAUAAACCCAUUACUUUCUCCCGUAUUUUUUUUUAAACCAUGUAGAAAGAAAACACACACCUUAAGCGAAUGUAUGAAAUCAACAAAGAAAAGAAUCUAAAAAAACAAAUUAUUUCAAAGUAAUAAACAUACUUUUCAAGAUCCUUUUCGGUUCUCUUCCACUUUGUUCUCUUCAUUUCCCAUGUUUUUUCAAAAACUGGAGAAAAAGAUUCACACUUCAAUUAAAUGAAUAACCUUUUACACAGAUAAUCAACAAUAAUAUGCAAAUCUGCACACACAAAAAAUAACAAAAAACAAAAAAAAAAAAUCAGAAGACCAUAGAAUACGUUGCAGUCUACCAUUCAAGAGAGAACCCUUGGUUCGUUCUCUUUUUCUUCCUUUCUGCUCUUUUGAAUUUCAAAAGUUUCUCUUUUUUUCAAGAUCCUUUUCAGUUAUCUUCCACUUCAUUUUGUUUUCUUCCUUUCUUGCGUUUUUUCAGAAACUUGAGAAACAAAAAUUCACACUUCAAUCAAAUGAAUAUCCUUUUAGAAUCCUUUUUACAUAGAUAAUAAACAACAAUACGCAAAUCUGCAAAAUAUGUAUGUAUAUAUAUAUAUAUCAUAAGACCAUAUAGUGCGUUGCAGUCUACCAUUCAAGAUAGAACCCUUGGUUCGUUCUCUUUCUCUUCCUUUCUACUCUUUUGAAUUUCUCUUCCCUUCUGCUCUUUUGAAUUUCAAAGGUUUCUUCUUUUUUUUUUCAAGGGUAAUUUAGUCCAAAAUGGGUCAUUCUUCAGGUUUUAAAAAUGCAGAGGUCAUUUUUCCAAAUACCACUUUAUUUUUGCACUUUUAAUCAAAUAACCCUAAAAAAAAUGUGAAAAAAUACAUAAAAGAAUUUGAGAAAUCAUAUGAAACAUUUGAAACAAGGUAUAAAAUGAUAUAAUUUUUUUAAAAAAAAAACCAAAUUGAUGAGAAGUAUGACUAGAUAAUGUAAUUUUCUAACUACUAUUUCUUUUAUAUUUUUGUUCCUUCAUGGAUACAAUGGACAAGGGCAAAGGAAAGGAAUUUAUCAUCGAUUUGAACGAUGAAGACUUUGAUUACCAAUAUGAUAGCAAUGUGAAAACUGAGUCUGAUAAAGAGGCCAUACUAGUUUCAAAGAAGAUUUUGAAUGAUUUAACUCUUGAAGAUGUAUAGAAGAUGGAGUUCAACUCAAUAGAGGAGGUAGAAGAAUUUUAUAAUUUAUUUGCUAAAGUUAUCGGAUUUAGUGUUAGAAAGAAUGAUGUGAAACAGGAUAAAAGUCAAAAUAUAGUAUCUCGUAAGUGGGUUUGCUCGAAAGAAGUAUAUUGAUAAAGAUUGUGUUUGGAAAAUGAAAAUCGAAAACUAUAACCUAAGGCAGUAACUAGAGUUGGUUGUGAAGCAACAUUUCAGAUUGGGUUUAACAAACAAAUGAACAAGUGGAUUGUGAAAGAGUUUAUGGCCGAUCAUAAUCAUCCUUUGGUGGAAUAAAAAAAUAUCCAAUUCCUUCGAUCCCAUAGGGUCAUGAAAAAUGUAGAUAAGGCUCAAUUGAAUGCAAUGUGACGUAUUGGCAUGGGAACUAGCCAAAUUAUGGAUUACAUAGUGCAACAAUCAAGUGGAUAUAACAAUGUUGGCUUCAUAAAAAAUAUAUAUAUAUAACCAUGUUGAUGUUAAUAGUAGAGUUCAGAUAAGAGAUGGUGAUGCAGAGAGUGUUUUGGCUUACUUGUGUGGAAAGUCUAAAAUGGAUCCAUCAUUUUAUUACAAGUACAAUGUUGAUGAAGACUACCAUCUAGCAAACAUGUUUUGCGUGAAGUGGAUUCAGCUACAUAAGCUUGUUCAUUAGGCCUAGCAACCACAAGUCGCUCGAUUUCCAAUUCAAGAUGGCAAACUAUAUCAUCAAAGGUCUUGACACUCUCAUUAUGUGUCAUGUUGACCACCAUGUGUUCCCCGCUCUUUAGUAAAGAUCUGAUGAUUGCCUCAACCUGUUACUCAUCAGUGAGGACAUGUUUGGAUGUCUUAAGCUCUCUUAUCAUUCUUUUCAUCUCCCUGAGAUGUUGUUUCAUUGUAUGGUUUAAUCACAUCUUGUAAUUUCCAAAUUUCAUUACAAGUUCUCUUAGCUUCGUAGUUGAAAGUCCACCAUACUUUUCUUUUAAAGCUUCCUACAUCUCAUGAGUAGUUUGGUAUACCUCAUACUCAAUUAAGAGAUCAUCUUGCAUACAACUUAACAACGUAAUGUGCUCUAAAUAAUUAUUUUUUCUUCCAGACCACAUCAACAAGAUAAAUAUACAUGUCAUAUCUUGCAUAUCAAAAUAUUUACAUUUUAUGUACAAAGCAUAAAAGAAAAUGUAAUAUAUAAAAGAAAAACUAAUUUUCUCCCUUGAAACUAAAAGGAACAAUGUUAGGAUUAUACACAAUGUCUUCUACAACUCUAGAAGUUGUUUUCAAUAACCAUAACCCUCUAAGAUUUUUAUGCCUGAUAGAAUUUGAAAAACUUGCAUUUCGUAAGUUAGGAGAAAUAGAAAGCACUGUUGUUCGUCUAAUGGCAUUCUUCACAAAGCAUAUUUGCCAAUGUUCCUUGAAAAUAGCUAUUAAGUCAUCAAAAUACCUAUUUGUCAAACUAUGAGGCCCUUCUUGAACGAAUUCCCAUAUAUUUUCUAAAACUUUAUCAUCAGGUUCUGUUAAUGACAUUUUUAAAAUUCGCUUUUUAUGGCCUGACUGAAAAAUAUAUUACACUUUCAAACAAUUGAUCUUAUUAACCACAUGAUUCAUAUGUUCAUUUAUAGAAUGGCUAAGGUCCCUCUUGUAAUUCAUAAGCGUAUCCAAAAACGGCCAAGGUCCUCUACUCCUUAGUAUUCUCCUAGUUCUCUUCAUUCAUACCAUUUUGCACCUAAUCAAAAGAAUUUAAUUUAAUUUUAAAGAGUAACAUAUACUCAUAUUUUAAUUAAAUAUUUGAACAAAUCAAAAUUUAAUUAGAAAGACACAAUUAUUUAAAAAAUAUCUUUUAUUGUCCCUCAAAUUUUUAUUAUUAUUUUAUACACAAGUCAACAUUCAUCAUUUGAAAUAAACAAUACAAUACCAAUAAAUGGUAUUUUAUGUUAUAUCAAGUGUUGGUACUUUAGUGGUAAUAAGGGACUCUUUUAAAAUGAUAGACUUAGGUUAUUUUUUACUUCUACAGGAUUGCAGUGUUGCAUUAUUAUUUUUAUUUUAUUUUUUAUUUAUUAUUUUUUGCUUUGGAUUGGAGUGUUGCAGUAUCAUAUAUAUCCCAUAAUUUAUUUAUUUAUUUUAUUCUAAUAUCCAAUUUCCACUAUUGGAUACUAUGUAUAUUUCAUUUCUUUUUUAUUAUUAUUAUUUUUUACUUCUACAGGAUUGCAAUGUUGUAGUAUCAUAUAUAUCCCGUAAUUUAUUUAUUUUAUUCUAAUAUCCAAUUUCUACUAUUGGAUAUAUUAUCAACAUUUCAGUUUUAUUUUUAUUUUUUGAUAUAUCUGGAUUAUCUACAACAGGGUAGGUUCGAAUCCUAGGUGUUGCAUUAUUAUUUUUAUUAUUUAUUUAUUUUUAUUUUUUUACUUUUAUUUAUUUAUUUAUUUAUUUAUUAUUUUUUUACUUCUAUUUAUUUAUUUAUUUUAUUCUAAUAUUCAAUUUUUAUGUACAUUUCAUUUCUUUGUUUUUUUUUUUUUUUUGAUAUAUCUGGAUUAUCUACAAUAAGGUGAGUCUAUAGGUGUCAUCCCAUCAUUCAAUUUUUUUUUAAUUAUAAUAUCCCAUUUCCAUUUUAUUGGAUAUUUUUGUAUUAUCGGAUAUUACCAAUAAACUUCAUUAUUGAAUAUUAUCCUCUUUUCCAUUUCCCUGCAGAUAUCUAGUUCUUACGUGCAUCCAUUGCAUCCAUCAUUUUCACAUUCAAUGCACAUCCAUCAUUUACUCACUGCAUCCACUAUUAUUUUUUUUUAUUUUUUUUAUAAGAACUCUUCUUUCCAAAAACAAAUCUGAAUAAGAAACUAUGUUCUUUCUCAAAAGAAAAUAGAACAGGAAACAAACCAACAUGCUUUGAUACCAUUGUUUAAAAAAAAAAAAAAAUUCAUAUUAUCUUUUUAACAAAAAUCCAAGAUCCAAUAAAAUUGUUUCAUUGUUCAAAUCUUUAGCCCAGGUCUUGAAUGGAACCACAGUCAAAUCGGGAACCGCCUAGUUUCAUAGCACAAAAACCUUUCACCUACUCGUCAGAGAACUUUUCUUCUGAAGUUCUCUUUGUCCUUUUUUUUAAGAAAAAAAAAAUGCGAAAGUUAGAGAGUAGUGGGGAGGUUUCUGGGUAAUUUUUGACAGUUCCAACUCCCAAAAACUGCUCCCUAGAUCGGCAUAUUGGAUCGAGUUAGGUCAACCCAACUUGGGCACCCACCCAAUUCCAACAUAAAUUAUAUCAAAAUCAAUUUCAAACUACCAUAUGACAUAGGAUGAUUGAAGUACAUGUUCUCUCUUUUUCAGUUCAGCCUCUUUGGCCUGAAGUUCCCUCUCCUUUGCCUUUGUGUCCUAAAGUUGAAUGCAGAAGAACUAAAAACUUGAAAUGCAUGCUUGCACAGAAUGUACAGAUAACAAAAUGUAAUAUAGAACUUGUCAAAUUUGAUCUACCUUUGCACCAUCAAGAGGAAUAUCAACUAUUGCACCACGAUAACCAGGAGGUUCAAGGGGGAGUGGUGAAAGCCUAGAGUUGGCUGCAAAGAAGACACUACCAAGAUUCUAGCAAUCUCAACAAGAAUCAAAAUCGAUGAUUCAAUCUCCGAUUGGUUUCCGAUACUCGGAUUCAACAGAAAACCGCCAAAGUCUGAUUCUACUAUUUAUUUAGAAAUGAGAUUUCUUCCUUCCGUGAUCAAUCCUUUGUAUAUUCGCGGUAUCGCCGAUCUAAACCAUUUUGGCGUUAAACAGAGUUAUUUCCCCUAGUCUGCUCAUUUCUUUUCUUGCUCUCUCUGAUUUCUCCUCUCCUUUCUUUUCUUGCUCUCUCUGAUUUCCACUCAGCUCGCUCUCUUUGUAAACUAUCUUUUCACCAGAAAAUUCCCUCUCCACACCCUCAAACGUUUUUCUGAAGCUCACCUCUCUAAAACCCAGGAAAGUUAUAAGACCCAUCAGUUUACAUUGGUUCUCAUGCUGAAACGUGCCUCUCAUAGCUACAAAAUUAGUAGACCCAUCAGUCUACAUUGGUUCUCAUGCUGAAAUGUGGCUCCAAAGCUUCAGCACUCUUAUUACAAGCUUUUGGACAAGAUAGAGCGGGAAAACAAGAUGAGAUCAACAACCUGUAGCUUAUUUCUUUUUUUCUUUUUUUAAUAAAAAUGUCAGUUGGACGAUCUGGGUUGAACCACCUUCAUCCAAUGGCCAAGAAUGUUUUUUGGGUACUGUACCGAAGUGGUACCAUAGAAUUUUCCUUUGAAAAAGUCCACUCUCAAGAAAGAAUAGAUUUUUUAAUGAACUUUUCAAAAAUAAUUAUAUGGAUAUACGCUAUAACAAUAGUUUGAAAAAAUUUCAAGAUUGUCCUCAAAUCAAAACUCAACAAAAUUAUCUUUAAACUUUUCUCUUCCAUAACUUGUCAUCAACUUCUCAAAAGUCAAAACUGAUCAUGAUUAUCCCUAAAAAAAAAACAAAACAAAAAAAAAAAAAUUGAUUCGUAGCAACCAUUCCACGUGGUUUUUCUUUUUCAUUUUUUUCCCUUAUUAUAUUUUUUAAUUUUUUUAAUCUCGGCAUAUAACCCACAUUAUUUUUCCUUUUUUUUUUAUUCUCUUUCUUUAUAUUAGCUGAUGUUUUUUUAAUAUGCUAGUUACACCCAAGGAUGAAAAUAUCGGUAAUUACGGAUAUAUCGGUACUUCGAUUUUAUGGAUAUAUCGGAUAUAUCAGAGAUAUAUUGGCGGAUAUUCUCGAAAAAAAUAUCGAUAGGCUUAAAAUUGUUAAAAACUCAUGAAAAUGCAAGGAAACCCUCAUAAUAAUAUAAUUAGAAAUAUAAUAGACAUUUUAAAGUUGUUUUAUUGAAAAAUUUGAUAUACAUAUGAUAUAAUUUGCAAUAUUAGAUGUAAUUAUAUCAUGUUGAUCUAUAAGAAAUGUUAAUUUCGUAAUUGUUCUCAUUAUAAAGUCACAUAAAAUACUUCAUUUCAUUAAAUAUCAAUAAUUUGUACACAUUACAUUGCAAUGUCCCUUUAGUACCAAAAUGAGGAUCGAUGUGGUUCAAUGGGAUUGAUUGUUAAAGGAACCCCGGCUUGCUGUUGGAGACAAUAUUGGUACCAACUCAAUGAGUCUUGAUAAUAUUGGUUAUAAAUUCUAACAUGCCAUGCAUAUAUCUCUUGAGUCCUGCCUAUUGCCUCUACAUGGAUAGGAUACUCAAAGUUCACCCAUGUGUUAAUGCCAAAUCCUUCUUCCAUCUAAUAUGGAACUUGGUAUGGCAUUUGUCUGGAAGGGGAAUAAUGCAACAUACCAUACUCUUCAUCUGUUGAACUUGAAGGUUGACCAUAACUCAUCAUAUGAGGAGGGUAGACGUUAGCCUCAUUCGAGGAGUCACUAAAUUGAGUCCUUAUACUCAUAGAUUCAAAACUCCCUGAAAGUAACUCCUCGUUAUAUGGUUCCAUCAUUCGUUCUCUUCCUUUAUAAGGCUUCCCAAUAGCUCCUAUGCCUGGACCAACUCUUCUAGAGCCAUGGUCUUCAUCCUGUGUGCAGUGUGUGAAAUCAUUUUCACAAGUAAAUUGGUUGAUUGGAUAUUGACUCUGUCGACGUUCAUCAAUAUCUUCUCCCUCAUUAUCACCUCUAUCAUCAGUUCCACCUCUUGAACCAUCAUAACCAGAAGCAAAAGUACCUGAGCACUAGGUCUACUACUAUGGCCAACACUUGUGGAGUCAAUCUCUUGGUGGGAAUUCAAUGCCGCCUGAAGUGAAUCAUUAGUAUCUUUGCUAAAACUUUUAGAGUGAACUUCUUCGGACAACACACAUUUAAUAUUAACUCCAAAUUCUCGAGCAUGAGCAGCAAUUCGUGGAUCAAGAUUUCCAACUUCGUCAUCCAAGUGUAUAGGCCUAACCCACUGGAAUAACUGAUUAUCUUCUUCUUCACCCACCUCAGCUGAAAUGUCAAGAAGAUCAAGGUAAUCUUUUUCAGCAACUCGAUCAUUUCUGCCUCCAUAUCGUGUAACUUUAGCCUCAUAUUAUAGUAACAAAAAACUAAUUGCUCCAAUCGAGGGUAAGCCAAACGAUUUCGUUGCUUUGUGUGAAUGAAAGCAAAUGUGCUCUAAUUUCUCUCACAUGCAGAAGAUGACGCAGUUUGUGAGAGAACUUUGAUGGCUAACUUUCUCAAUGUAGGUGUUUGAUUCCCAUACAUAAACCACCAUUCAGCUACAAUGAAUUUGAUAAUCAUAUAAAUACUUAUGUGGUGAAUUUACAAUUAUGUUAAUCAAUUUUUUCCUAUAAAGACUCACCGGGCACCAUGGUUGACCUUGUUGCAAUUGCCGCUCGAUCACCGAAUCCUUUUUUUGCAUCUCGAAAAAGUACAAGCUAUGUAUUCAACAUUUAAUUUGUUAGUAAACAUUCAAAUAAAUUGAUGAAUGAAAUUAUUGUUUUAUUGACAAAAAUAACAGUUUUUUAUUCACCUCAUUUCCAAAUUGACCAAGCGCUUCAGUAGUUGGAUCUAAUUUUAUAAAAACAUCAUGGACAGCUUGAAGUAGUUCUAAAUCACUACCAACUCCACGUCCAUAUUGAAAUCUUGGAUUCAAGAAGUAUGCUACAAUAAAAUUUAGUAUAGUUAGUAUUUUUUUAAAAGAAACUUAAAUACAAAGUAAAAACUUAUAAAGAUAUAUAGUACUUAAAUACUUGCUGCAUGAAGUGGAUGUUUUAGUGUUUUCUCCUAACGAUCUUGUAUUAUUUUGAACAUCCAAUCUCCGACUCCUUGACGAAUAAGGUUCUCUUUCAUCACGUGCAUAAGCUCGUACACAAAUGGCAUUGUGGGAACAACUUCAGAAUCCACAAGUCGAAGCACCACGUAUAAUGGCUCAUAUAGUAAAACUAUAUUUGUCAAUCUGUCCCAAUAUGUAUGGUCAAACAAUAAUUGCUCCAAUUCUCGUCCAAGUUUUGUUCGACUGAGUUUGUGUUGUGCCCAUUCAUCACUCAUAAACAAUUUUUUCAAAUCAACCCUUUUUUUUAGAAGACUGUCGAGAGCAAUAUAAUUGGUUGCAAACCUUGUAGCUCCCNNNNNNNNNNNNNNNNNNNNNNNNNNNNNNNNNNNNNNNNNNNNNNNNNNNNNNNNNNNNNNNNNNNNNNNNNNNNNNNNNNNNNNNNNNNNNNNNNNNNUGGUGGAGACAUGUUUCGACCAGGAGCUACAAGGUUUGCAACCACACUACUACAAAAAUAGCUUAUGGUGUCACUAUUUACGGUGUCACUUUUAAAAUAAUGACACCAUAGGGUUUAUAAUUAAUAAAGGUGACACAUCAUAUAAAAAAAAUCUUCAAUUGAGGUAGUUAGAUGAUAUUAAUUUUAUAUUUAUAGUGUCAUUUUUUGGGAAGUGACAUCAUAUAAAAUAAAUUUUUUUAAGUAUUAUAACUUAAUGAGCUCACUUUUAGAAUUAAUAAUGAUGGAUACUAUAUAAAAAUCCCAUUGUUUCCAUAUCUCACCCACAAUCCAAAAAAUCUCAAUAUAUAAAUCAUAUAUAUAAAAUCAUGAUCUUCUUCAACCUUUUCUCUCACCCAUCCAUAGUCAACACGCUCAAAACCGAAAUUCUUCACUUUGUGGACUCCCAGGUAACCCAAAAUCUCUUGGAUCUAUCAUUUUUUUUUUCUUUUAUUAAUGUCAUUAUAUUAAUUGUUUCAACAUCUUUAUAUUAAGGUUUUUGUGAAUUGUGUUUUCUUGAGUUGUAGGGAAGAAAAAUUUAGGUUUAAUCUUCUAGCAUGGAAGAAAAAACUAUAGAUUAAUUGAUUUUUUUAAUCUAAACCAAACACAUGAUCAAGUCCUUAAAAAAAAGUGAAAAACAGGAAAAAAUGAAUGAUUUUUAAUAUGUAUUCGUGUGAGAAUGACAGGUACAUAAUUUUUUUAAGAUAUACUAUCACAUAAUCUUCAUCCUUUCUAAAAAACGAGAGAGGAAAAAAAAAAGAAUGAUUUUUCUGUUUGUAUCUAAGUGGGAAUGAGAUAUAGAAUUUCGUUGAGAGUAUCCAACCCCAAAAGGACCAAUUCGGGAAGGCAUGUGUGGUAUUGACGGGAGAUGAUAAGAUGGAAAUCAUAACCAUAGCCAUGUUCUCUCUGUGUCUUUCUAUCCUCUUCAAUUAAUUCAUGGGCAUAGAUAUUUUAUUUAGUUUUUAUAUUUAGUUUAUUUAUAGUUUAUUUAGUUUCUAAAAUCCAAUUAGUUAGAUAUUUUAUUUGAUUUUGUUUUUAUAUUUAAGUAUUUGAGUUUUGGAAAGUUUUUAUAUUUUGUUAAUAGAAAUAGAAAUUUUUAUAUUUUUUAUUAUUAGGAAUUUCUAUUUUGUUAAAUUGUAAGUAUCUAUCUCAAUAAGAGAUUAUUAAUAUUCAAAUGAAAGUGAUGAAAGAGAGUAAAUAUUUUAAUGCUCAAUUAUAUUUAAUGUUUUUUUUUUUUUNNNNNNNNNNNNNNNNNNNNNNNNNNNNNNNNNNNNNNNNNNNNNNNNNNNNNNNNNNNNNNNNNNNNNNNNNNNNNNNNNNNNNNNNNNNNNNNNNNNNAGUUUAUUUAGUUUCUAAAAUCCAAUUAGCUAGAUAUUUUAUUUGAUUUUAUUUUUAUAUAUAAGUAGUUGAGUUUUGGAAAGUUUUUAUAUUUUGUUAAUAUAAAUAGAAAUUUUAUAUUUUUUUAUUAUUAGAAAUUUCUAUUUUGUUAAAUUGUAAGUAUCUAUCUCAAUAAGAGAUUAUUAAUAUUCAAAUGAAAGUGAUGAAAGAGAGUAAAUAUUUUAAUGCUCAAUUAUAUUUUAAUGUUAUUUUUUUUUACAUAAGGGUUUAUUUAUGUUUUCAAUUUUGAAGUUCCCUUUCCAAGUUCAGCAACAAAAGUAGUAUCUAACCUUAAAAUGGGCAUGUGUGGUAUUGACAGGAAAUGAUAAGAUGGAAAUCAUAACCAUAGUCAUGUUCUCUCUGUGUCUUUCUAUCCUCUUCAAUUAAUUCAUGGGCAUAGAUAUUUUAUUUAGUUUUUAUAUUUAGUUUAUUUAUAGUUUAUUUAGUUUCUAAAAUCCAAUUAGCUAGAUAUUUUAUUUGAUUUUGUUUUUAUAUUUAAGUAGUUGAGUUUUGGAAAGUUUUUAUAUUUUGUUAAUAGAAAUAGAUAUGAGGACUUAAAGGGUUUAUAUUUAGGUAGUGCUUAAGUCAAGGAAAAUGAUAGUCCACUAUCUUGACCCUAUGCAUCACAAACCAUGUGAGGACUUAAAGGAUAUCGUAAACAUGUAAGUUCUUCCUAUUAUUUUUCAUAGUAUUAUUUUUAAAUAAAAAAAAAUACAUUCACCUCAAACACAUUUUUUUUAUUAUUUAUAUAUAUUAAAACAUAUAACAUUUACCUAUUUUAAAAAUGUACCCAUUGAACUUAUUUACAUAGGGCUCUUUGAAUAUCUGCAAAGAAAACAUCUAAGAGGGAGCCAUCUUAGCAACUAGUGCAGGUGACAUCCAAAAAUUUUUCUUUACACAUUGGCUUAUGCAUUUGCACCAUUUAUAUAUGUGAGUACUAAUGUUAUUUUAUAAUUGAUCAAUUAGUGUCCAAGACAAGAAGGAGGGUUCGAAUGUGACUACUUUGUUAUGAGAUUCAUUAAAGAGAUAAUUUUUUAUCCUACAAUUAUUGCUUCAAAGGUGUUACUUAUUUAAUGAAUUGUACAUAGUUUUAGGCUUCCAAAUGUUAUGCAUUUUAAUGUUGUUUUCUUAUUUGAUUUCAGUUUGGUAAUAAAAAAAAAACAUAUUCUCAAGUAGAAUUCGAUGAAAUUAGAGGAGAAUGGGCUACUUUUGUGCUACAACUAAUCAUGAAUCAUGUUGAUGCAUCAUGAUCACCAUGCAUGGUGAGUCCCUUAGCUACUACAUGAAUUUUUCCAUAGGUAUUGUAUAGUAAUAUUCUUUGAAUAAUGUUUCUAUUUGAAAAAACAAAUUAAUUCUUAGAUUUGUUCAUUUAUGAUAACAUAGAUCCAUGUUUAUUUUCUUCAAUAAAAAUCUCUAAAACUCAUUAAAUUUUGAAAUGCAGGUAUACACUCUUGGGAGGGUGAAAUGGAGAAUAAAAAGAAAGAAGAAGGCAACAAGAUUUUGGGUUUUUAAAUGCAACUCUUAUGUCAUACGUUGUAGGACAUAAACGUUACUUUAAUUGCAACUGAGAAAUUUAGAUUUUUAGAUGGGACUUCUAUGUCAUUUUAUGGUUAGCCAGUUUUAUGCUUAUGAAAUGGAGGUAUACAUGAAUCUUGGGAUCUUUAACAUUUCUAAAUCAUGUUUUGGUAUGUAUUCACUCUUCUUUUUUAGUUUUGAUGGGUUUGAUAUGUUGGACGUACUAUCCUUUUGUGAACAUUUGAUAUACAAAUAUUAUCAGAUGAUCAAUGUAUUAUGAGUUAUUCCAGAAANNNNNNNNNNNNNNNNNNNNNNNNNNNNNNNNNNNNNNNNNNNNNNNNNNNNNNNNNNNNNNNNNNNNNNNNNNNNNNNNNNNNNNNNNNNNNNNNNNNNGAUUAUUUAAUAUUCAAAAUGAAAAGUGAUGAAAAGAGAGUAAAUAUUUUAAUGCUCAAUUAUAUUUUAAUGUUUUUUUUUUUUUUACAUAAGGGUUUAUUUAUGUUUUCAAUUUUGAAGUUCUCUUUCCAAGUCCAGCAACAAAAGUAGUGUCCAACCUUAAAAUGGGCAUGUGUGGUAUUGACGGGAGAUGAUAAGAUGGAAAUCAUAACCAUAGCCAUGUUCUCUCUGUGUCUUUGUAUCAUCUUCAAUUAAUUCAUGGGCAUAGAUAUUUUAUUUAGUUUUUAUAUUUAGUUUAUUUAUAGUUUAUUUAGUUUCUAAAAUCCAAUUAGCUAGAUAUUUUAUUUGAUUUUAUUUUUAUAUUUAAGUAGUUGAGUUUUGGAAAGUUUUUAUAUUUUGUUAAUAUAAAUAGAAAUUUUAUAUUUUUUAUUAUUAGAAAUUUCUAUUUUGUUAAAUUGUAAGUAUCUAUCUCAAUAAGAGAUUAUUAAUAUUCAAAUGAAAGUGAUGAAAGAGAGUAAAUAUUUUAAUGCUCAAUUAUAUUUUAAUGUUAUUUUUUUUUACAUAAGGGUUUAUUUAUGUUUUCAAUUUUGAAGUUCCCUUUCCAAGUUCAGCAACAAAAGUAGUAUCUAACCUUAAAAUGGGCAUGUGUGGUAUUGACAGGAAAUGAUAAGAUGGAAAUCAUAACCAUAGUCAUGUUCUCUCUGUGUCUUUCUAUCCUCUUCAAUUAAUUCAUGGGCAUAGAUAUUUUAUUUAGUUUUUAUAUUUAGUUUAUUUAUAGUUUAUUUAGUUUCUAAAAUCCAAUUAGCUAGAUAUUUUAUUUGAUUUUGUUUUUAUAUUUAAGUAGUUGAGUUUUGGAAAGUUUUUAUAUUUUGUUAAUAGAAAUAGAUAUGAGGACUUAAAGGGUUUAUAUUUAGGUAGUGCUUAAGUCAAGGAAAAUGAUAGUCCACUAUCUUGACCCUAUGCAUCACAAACCCAUGUGAGGACUUAAAGGNNNNNNNNNNNNNNNNNNNNNNNNNNNNNNNNNNNNNNNNNNNNNNNNNNNNNNNNNNNNNNNNNNNNNNNNNNNNNNNNNNNNNNNNNNNNNNNNNNNNAAAGGUGUUACUUAUUUAAUGAAUUGUACAUAGUUUUAGGCUUCCAAAUGUUAUGCAUUUUAAUGUUGUUUUCUUAUUUGAUUUCAGUUUGGUAAUAAAAAAAAAACAUAUUCUCAAGUAGAAUUCGAUGAAAUUAGAGGAGAAUGGGCUACUUUUGUGCUACAACUAAUCAUGAAUCAUGUUGAUGCAUCAUGAUCACCAUGCAUGGUGAGUCCCUUAGCUACUACAUGAAUUUUUCCAUAGGUAUUGUAUAGUAAUAUUCUUUGAAUAAUGUUUCUAUUUGAAAAAACAAAUUAAUUCUUAGAUUUGUUCAUUUAUGAUAACAUAGAUCCAUGUUUAUUUUCUUCAAUAAAAAUCUCUAAAACUCAUUAAAUUUUGAAAUGCAGGUAUACACUCUUGGGAGGGUGAAAUGGAGAAUAAAAAGAAAGAAGAAGGCAACAAGAUUUUGGGUUUUUAAAUGCAACUCUUAUGUCAUACGUUGUAGGACAUAAACGUUACUUUAAUUGCAACUGAGAAAUUUAGAUUUUUAGAUGGGACUUCUAUGUCAUUUUAUGGUUAGCCAGUUUUAUGCUUAUGAAAUGGAGGUAUACAUGAAUCUUGGGAUCUUUAACAUUUCUAAAUCAUGUUUUGGUAUGUAUUCACUCUUCUUUUUUAGUUUUGAUGGGUUUGAUAUGUUGGACGUACUAUCCUUUUGUGAACAUUUGAUAUACAAAUAUUAUCAGAUGAUCAAUGUAUUAUGAGUUAUUCCAGAAACAUUAUAGAAAAAUGAGUUAAAUAUAAUAUGAUUGUUAUAUUUAUGGACAAAAUAUAAACAGGAUAAUCUUAUUAAUUCAUAAGCAUUACAAAAAUCAACAACUAAAACCAAUCAUAUAUUCCACAAUGAUUUACAAUGAUGUGAUACCACAAUUCAAAGGUGAUGCAUUUAAUGUGACAUCAUAACUCAAAGAUGAUGUAUUUAAUGUGACACCCUAUCAUCACUAGAAAUAUAUGGUGUCACUUCUGAAUGGGUCACCAUUUAUCUACUUUAGUGUCACUUCCAAAUACGUCACCAAUUGGUACCCUCUAUGGUGUCAGUGGAGAAGGUGACGCUAUAUUGUAGUGACACCUUAUGUUUAUGGUGACUCGUUAUAAAUGUCACCAUAUACCUUUUUCCUUGUAGUGCCAAUUAUAAAGACUGAUGUGUGCGCCACACACGGAGUCCAAUAUAAGUUAUACUUCUUCAUCAAUUGUUUCCUUGCUUUCAUGAACGCCGACUCAUUAUCUGUAACAAUUGGGACCACAUUUUCCUUACCGACUUCUUUGAUAAUAGUCUUCAAAAGCUCGUAUAUAUACUUGUGGUCUUUGAUAUAGUUCGAUGCAUCGACUGACUUAAGAAACACCGUGGUCCCUUUAGAAUAAACCAUGAAAUUAAUAAUACUUAAUUUCGUGGGCCCUGUCCAUCCAUCUGACAUUAUUGUGUACCCAUAUGUCUUCCAUUUUUCUCUUUGUUGGUUCACAUAAGCUUCCAUUUCUUUGUACUCCAUUUCUAAGUAUUUGUUCUUUAUUUCAUAUGGAGAUGGAGGUUCAAUUCCCAUUCUUGCACUUCAUAUGUAAAACAUGUCACAAAAUACUAUACUCACUAAAAGUAUAACACAAUAUAACAUUUGAUAAAUUAGUAAUUACCUGCUUGUUGUGCACCAAUAAUCAUAUUCUUAAAGUGAUGAGACUUUGCUUUUGCGGGUGCGACACUCUCAUAAAUGAAGAAUUUUCUUGUUAAGCGUCCCAUCGUUUCUUUAAUUGCGCCACCCUUGAAUAUAUCUUUGAUAUUUUUUUUCUUGCUGCAGAAGACUUGUAAAACAAAGGGGCAAUAGGGGGUGAAUGAUGCGAAUGUUGCAUACUCUGUGAUUUUCGCAUUGUCGACGGUGUACCAGUAGAAGACUCUCCCGGUUUGCGUUUGCUUCCUACAAUAUUCUCAUGUUGUUCACGUUCCCAAUUAGAUGCUUUCAAGGCACGAACCGCAGAUCGAUAUGCAUCCCGCUCAUCAGGGUGCAUAUCUGUCGGAUACAUAUACACAUCUUCAUCCUCAGCAUCUUCAUCAUCAUCAUCUUCGUUUACCAAAUGUGUAUGAUGAGUCCCCAUUGUGCCACGUAAUUGACUACGAAUGUCUUCAAUAUCAACAUUUUUCUUUGCUUUUGCUUUUUGUAUGUCAUGCACCAGCAAUCGUAUCUCUUCUUUCACUUCGGGCGGCACUCUUGGACACUUUUUGGUGUUGUUAUGCGAGUCCUUAUGCAUUAAAUGAGACUUGAAUCGCGUGAUGCCUCCACUUUUCAUUACCAACCCACAGAAAUUACAAAUUGUUCCAUUUCGAUUACCCUCAAUUGGUGAACAAUACUUCCAAGUCGGAUCUCACCCUGGCAUGGCAAAACCACCUUCACUAGCCAUGCUAAAUCUAUUGCAAGAAAAAUACACUUAAAUUUAAAUCUAUGUUAAUUAAACUAAUUACAUAAUUUAACUAAGUUAAUUUUUUAAAUCUAAAUGUAAUUCUAUGAUAAAUUUACUAAAUAUAAAAAUUAAUCAUAAUUGAAUAUGAAAAUAAAUCGCAAUAAUAAAAAAAAUGAGCAUAUUUAAUAUUCCAUAUAUAGUAGUUCAUGUUAAUUAAACUAAUUAAAUAAUUUAGCUAAGUUAAUUUUUUAAAUCUAAAUGUAAUUAUAUGAUAAAUUUACUAAAUAUUGAAAUUAAUCAUAAUUGAAUAUGAAAAUAAAUCGCGAUAAUAUAAAAAAUUGAACAUAUUUGAUAUUCCAUAUAUAGUAGUUCAUGUUAAUUAAACUAAUUACAUAAUUUAACUAAGUUAAUUUUUUGAAUCUAAAUGUAAUUCUAUGAUAAAUUUACUAAAUAUAAAAAUUAAUCAUAAUUGAAUAUGAAAAUAAAUCGCGAUAAUAUAAAAAAUUGAGCAUAUUUAAUAUUCCAUAUAUAGUAGUUCAUGUUAAUUAAACUAAUUAAAUAAUUUAGUUAAGUUAAUUUUUUAAAUCUAAAUGUAAUUCUAUGAUAAAUUUACUAAAUAUUGAAAUUAAUCAUAACUGAAUAUGAAAAUAAAUCGCGAUAAUAUAAAAAAUUGAACAUAUUUGAUAUUCCAUAUAUAGUAGUUCAUGUUAAUUAAACUAAUUAAAUAAUUUAGCUAAGUUAAUUUUUUAAAUCUAAAUGUAAUUCUAUGAUAAAUUUACUAAAUAUUGAAAUUAAUCAUAAUUGAAUAUGAAAAUAAAUCGCGAUAAUAUAAAAAAUUGAACAUAUUUGAUAUUCCAUAUAUAGUAGUUCAUGUUAAUUAAACUGAUUACAUAAUUUAACUAAGUUAAUUUUUUUGAAUCUAAAUGUAAUUCUAUGAUGAAUUUACUAAAUAUAAAAAUUAAUCAUAAUUGAAUAUGAAAAUAAAUCGCAAUAAUAAAAAAAUUGAGCAUAUUUAAUAUUCCAUAUAUAGUAGUUCAUGUUAAUUAAACUAUUUAAAUAAUUUAGCUAAGUUAAUUUUUUAAAUCUAAAUGUAAUUCUAUGAUAAAUUUACUAAAUAUAAAAAUUAAUCAUAAUUGAAUAUGAAAAUAAAUCCCAAUAUUCAUAAAAAUGAACAUAUUUCAUAUUCAAAAUAUAUUUGUUCAUGUUAAUUAAAUUAAUUACAUAAUUUAGCUAAGUUAACUAGUUUAAUAUAAUUCUAAAUGUGAAUCUAAAUCACAAAUAAUCAUCUAAAAUAAAUAUAUCAAUUUAUAAUUAAAUAAUCAAAUUAACCUAAAUUAAUUCAAUAAAAAUAUACAAAUUAAUUACAAUUGAACGUAAAAAUAACAUUAAAUCAUCCUUGCAAACAUACUAAUUAAUUAAAAAUACAUGAAUUAAUUACUAUUACAAACAAAAUUAAUUACAAUUUAAAACAAACAUACCUUACAAUGAUUGAAUAAUUGAGCAACCUUAGAAAAAAUUGGAGUACUAAGAGAGCAAAUGAUGAAUCAAAGCAAAAAUGGAUGGAAUUGAUGCAAAAUGGGCUAUUUAUAGACGAAAUUUGAGCCAAAAUAGUCGUUGGAACCUUAAGUUACCGUUAAAAUUUAAUUUUGGCCGUUGGAUCACAAUUUGGGAACAAUCUGGUUGUUGGAUCUCUUCAUUACCGUUGAGAUUCAAAUCUGGCCAUCGAAUCAACACGGGCGUGAUCUAGGCCAUCAGAUCACUUUGGAGAGAGAAGGGCGAUUUUUCACAAAAAAUCGGCGAUAUAUCGGCGAUUUAUUGGCUUUCCCAGGCCAUUUUUCCUUAAAAUCGGCAAUUUAUCCUUAAAAUCGGCAAUUUAUCGCUAAUCGCCGAUAUAUCGGCGAUAUAUCACCGAUUUUUUGGCCAUUUUUUGCGAAAAAUCGGCCCUCCGACAUAUCUCCUCGAAAUAUUGUGUCGCUUGCCUCCAAUAUAUGAUACAUCGUCGAUAUUUCGCAACAUUUUCCUCCUUGGUUACACCUUUUAUGAAAUCUUUUUAAUUCCAUUUUUUUCACUCUUUCAUCUUUUUAUUUUAAUUAUUUAUGAGCACUUUAAAUAUAAAAUAAUAAUAAUAAUCUAUAAUAAACAAUUAAUGAGAAAAAUUAAUGUAAAAAUAAAUACAUAACAAAUAAAUUUAGUUUUUUACUUAUGUAUUUUAUUUGAUCACGAUUUUUAAUUAAAGAAGAUAAAAACUUGGCUAUGGUUCUAAUAUUUUUUUUGUUAAAAUUUUUAAUAUAUAAAAUAAAAAUAAAAUACAUUUUUCAUUAAAAAUAUAUAUAUAUUUAAUCAUUUAUAGUAAUAUUCUCUUAAUUUUAUUAAAAAUUAAAAAUUUUGCAAACUAAAAUUAUGUAUGGAUUGAGAUAACCCUUGGAAAAAAAUGUACUACUUUUUAAUGAUUUCCUAGGGUACCACUUUUUUAAGAAAAAAGUUAAAAUGUGUUAAGAGUACUACCAUGGUGGAAGAAUGUAUCAUUCUUCUUUGAUUGUAUUUUUUUUACACUCCAGUAUUACUUUUUUCAUAAAAGAGUGGUACAUUCUUUUUCAAAUGUUGCAUCUAUUCUUAUGCAAUUUCAAUAUGCAAAAAUUUUAAUUUUUAAUAAAAUUAAGAAAAAAUUAAUAUAAAUUAUUAAAUACAAUUUUUUUAUGAAAAAUAUUUUUUUUAUUUUUUAUUUUACACAUUCAAAAUUUUAACAAGGAAAAAUGUUAUGACCACAACAAAAUUUUUAUCUUCUUUAAUUAAAAAUAUUAAAUAUUUUAACUAAGAAAAAAAGUUAAAAUCAGAGUGUAAGUUAAAUCCACAAGUAAAAAGUUAAAUGUCAUAAUCAUCAACUCUAAUUUUCACAUGAAAAUUUAAAAGUUUUAAAAAAUUACAAACAAAAUAAUAAUUAAUGACUCCAAAAUUUUCGCAUGAUGUUUCUCCACUACUACCCACUUUCCCACCCACAACACACUCCCCCCAUUCACUUCUUUCUUUUAUUUCUUUCUUUUCUUCCUCUCUUCUCUCCUCUUUUCUUCCCUUUUUUUCUCAUACCCACACAACCUCUCACUCUCAGUCGACACUGCCCCUCUCUCCGGCCAUAGAUCCGGUCACAUGCCACCCCCAACAUCCUGCUCUCCCUUCUCUCUCUCCCAUCUACUUUUCCAUUGUUGCCCUAUCCUCACGUUGGCUUCAUCCAUGGCAGCCUCACCACCAACAAUAGGCCCAUCUCCAAGCCUUGACACCAGUCACCACGCCACUAAUAUCGAAUCCGCCGCCCAUGGCUACUCAUCAUCAUCGUUGUCAAUCCACUAUGUACCACCACUCAUUGAUAGGGUAGCUUUUUUCUCCAUCAUAGGGCUAAACGAUUAAGGCAAUUCCUUUUAUUUUCACAGUAACUGUUUUCAGGCUCGUGUUUGUUUUGGGUUGCUAUUAUUUCCAUGAAUUAUAAAUAUGCGUUUGAAUUCGGGUUUUAGGCUUAGCUUCAAUAUCUUUUGGACUUGGGUUUAUUGGUUUUUAGAUUGCCGAUUUCGUGACUUAGGCUUCAUAUAUUGUGGAUUUGGGCUUUGCAUGGUUGUUGCUUUGGGUUCCUUUCUUGGGCUUUUGUUUUUGCAUGGGUUCGGGUGUUGAUGGAGAGUUGACAACUUGAAGACAACAAGAUUGACAGAGGCAGCGACAUUAACAUAAGGCGACUUUUUGGGAAAGAGGAAGUCGUCUCUACAGAGUUUUCAUGAUAAUUUUUUUUUUAAGAGUUUUGCUAUUUAUUUUUAAGGGGAGAGUGGGUAGAGUGUGAGAAAGGGGAAGGAAGGGUGCUCUCGAUUUUUAUUAUAUAUAUAUAUAUAUAUAUAUAUAUAUAUAUAUAUAUAUAUAUAUAUAUAUAUAUAUAUGUUCUUGUUUUUACAAUAGGUGAGAGAGGCGUAGGGGGAUCUUAGAUUGUUGGAGCUUGGAAGCUAUUGGGAUUGCACUGAAUGGGUAUAUCCAUCCUUCCUUGUACUCAUCUUUCCUUAUUCAUCUCUAUAUAUAUACCUAUGUUAUUUUAUUUUAUUUUAUUCAUGUACAUAUUUUCAGCUCAUCUAGUUGGUAUUUGUUGUAAAAUGCAAUAGAUAUAUUAAUUGCUAUUUUUAUUUCAAUAACAAUACUUGUAUAUAUUUGUUUUUUGUUGUUAUUUUAUCAAACUUUCAUGGAUUUAUUGGUUAAUGGAAAAUGCAUGCACUGAAUAUAGAAUUUUCAUUAUUAUUUUAUUUAAUUAUUCAUUUUUGUCUGUGUUUUUUUAUUUGAUUUUUUUAGGGAGUGAGAUGAAUAAAAUAACUACCAUUAAAAAGCCACCAAUAAUUUGUUUGUUAGAGAAAUAUGAUGAUAAAUUGUUUUUCUAAUAAAUUGAAAGUUUAUGUUGACAAAUAUUCAAUCAUGUUCAAAAAAAAAUAUGCAUAAAUGAAAAUCUCCUCAAAAAAAAAAAUUGUUGUAAAAUAAAAUAAUGAGAAAAAGAAAGAAGAGAAAAUAAACAAAAAUCCUCAAAGAAAAGUACAAUGGAAGAAAACCGAAUCAAUUUUCAUUAGAGGUCUCCUCUUUUAUAGGAAGUCACAAAGAGAUAUACAUCAAUAUAAAUGAAUAUCCACAAGUUCCCAUAAUCUAAUAAAAUCUCAUAUUUUAUAACACUCCCCCUUGGAUGAUCAUAAGAAUAUGUCUCAUUAAAACCUUAGUAGGAAAAAACCCUACAGGAAAAACCCUAGUAAAGGAAAAAGAGUACAAUAUGUUUUUAGAUUACUAUAACUGCCUCAUUAAAAACCCCGUUAGUAAAACCCAGUGGGACAAAACUUGGACAAAGGAAAAAAGAGUACAGCAUAGUGAUAUUCUUAUCAAUUAGCUCCCCUCAUGUUGACAUGAUUAUAUUCUCUCUAGUAGCGCAACAUGGAGAUCUUUAAGUUGAAGUAUUCCAAUGAGCUUCUUGAGCAUUGCAGUUGACAAUACCUUUGUGAAUAGAUUUGCUAAAUUGUCACUUGAUCUUAGUUGUUGAAUAGCAUUUUGAUCACUCUUCUGGAGUUGAUGAAUGUAAAAGAACUUAGGCGAUAUAUGCUUAAUUUUAUCACCUUUAAUGUGUCCUUUAAUUUGUGCAACACAUACAACAUUAUAUAACUUAGUAGCAUUACCUCUAAUGGAGGGUAGUGAUUACUACUCAAAAAGUACUAUUUCAUAGCUUGUAAUUAACUCUUUUAAACACUUUUGAGUAGUAGUUAUUACCUUUUAACCCAAUUAACAUAUUAAGGACCCUUGAAAUCAAUUCUAAUCAAAUUGUGUAAAGUUUUGGUGUUUUGAUAGCUUUUUUAUCACUAAAGCAAUCCGAGAUUGAGGAGAGUUCUUUGGAAUCCAUAAGCAAAUCCAGAAUGCAAGGAGUAUGGGAUCCUGCUCAUUCCACCCGGGUAGGAAUUCCACCCGGCUGCCGCGCACUUUCCAUCUGGAUGCUGCCACUUUCCACCCGGCUGACGCCACGUUCCAUCCGACUGCAAAAAGCUUUCCACCCGGUUGACGCCACUUCCAAUCUGCUGCCACCAUUCCACCCGGAUGUUCACAUCUGGAAUUCUGACGCCGGAUGGGAGAGGAGAGCGUUUCAACUUCCCCAGUCACACAUAUCCGGAUCCGCUUAAAGCGCUUACCCGGAGAGUUUCGCAGCCAUUUUGCACAGUGUCGCGGUGUUCUCCUGAAGCUUCCCGAUAUGUGCGACCGACAUUUUGAGAUAUUUUGAGAUAUUUUUGCUUUAGAUAUUUGAUGUCUAAAUCCCCUAACUCUCCUUGUAACCCACCAAUUAUAGGAUUCCUUAGUUAUUAAGUUAGGAAAAAAGAUGAAUAACCUUGUAGAUAUUAUUAUUGUAAUUUCCAUUUUAUAUAUCUCUCGAGAGCCUGUUCUCGGGAGGACGCAACUUUUGUAUAGUUUUAAAAGGAAGAAAAAUACAGAGUUUUGCUCUGCUUUUACCUUCUCAUUUUGAUUGUAUUUUCUUGCAAGCCAAACAACCUCUGAGGAUGUUUUCCCAGAGGAUGAGAGGCUAAACCUUUGGUUUCUUGGAGUGAAGGAAGCUAGGUAAAAAGUCUAGAUGCAAAAGGGGAAAACUCUCGUGCUUUAAAUACAGGUAGUUGGAGUUCAUAAAUGACUUUUAAAUCUAAAGUUUUGCUUUAAAUCCCUUAGAAUCAUUUUGAAUGGCCAAUACAUGAUAAGCUUUUAGGUCUCUAUGGAUACUUAUUGCUAGAUCCACAUAAGACCAUUAGUUAUCAUGUACGAGCCAUUGGAAAGUGGCUCAAGGUGAAGACCCAUAGUGUCUAAAGCCAUUAAUGGAACUUGAUUACCAUUUCUAUUGACUUUUUAUGGAUUAAAUCUUCAUUGUUAAACCUAUACUGGUUCAAGAAACAACCAUCCUUUAUGUUGUUGUCCCCAAUACGAGGAGAAAAAUCCUGAAUUUCCCAUUUUGCUUUCUGAACUUGAUCCUAGUAACCUUUAGCUCCGGGAGACUUUCUUUCUUCCAUUUUUACCUAGUUCUAUGUUAGUUUAGUUUCAAGCACCACUUUCAAAACAAAUUUUAUUUUCUUUUAAACUUUAAGUUUUUGACAAAGGAAAUCAUCAGAUUCAAUUUCUAAUCUUGAGUCUAUCACUGGUAGAGUGAAAACCCAUCCCAGAGUUCGACCCUAGAGCUGCUAUACUAUAGUAGCUUUACUAUGCUAGUAUAAGGUCAUAGGAUUUAUAAACAUUUUUUGAUUAAAAUACCCAACUGGGCACGAAUCAGGUAGUCCACAUGUUUCCAUUAUUUUCUUGAUUGAUCUUCACGAUAUUGUCGUACCAUCAUAGACAAAUACAUGUCUCAUUUGAGAUUGACCUUUGUAGGGGUCUGAAAGAUAGCUAAUAUCUACAUAUUCAAACAAUUGAGAUUAUGAUCUUUUCAAAAAACAUAAACACAUGUUAUCGUAGUACAUAAUUGGCUUUAUUCCAAUAUCUCUGAGUUGGUAUAGAACUAUAUCUCGCAUGUAAGUUAACAAAAAAUGCAAUAUUUAGUCGUAUACAAUUUGUAAGAUACAUCAGUGCACUAAUAACACUAUAAUAUAGUACUUCUGGACCAAGUAGUUCUUCGUUAUCUUCUUUAGGAUGAAACAAGUCUUUGUUCACUUUGAGUGAACGAGGAACUAUAGGAGAACUUAAUGAAUGAGAUUUAUCCAUAUGAAAGUGAUUUAAGACUGUCUUUGUUAUGUUGACUGAUAAACUAAUAUUUCGUUUGAAAAGUACUCAAUUUGCAAGUCAAAGCAAAAAUUUUAUUUUCUAGAAUCUUUUAUUUCAAAUUUACUUUUCAAAUAAUCAACUAUUCUUAUAAGCUCUUCAAGAGUUCCAACAAAAUUCAAAUGUUCCACAUAUACUAUAAUAAUUGCAAAUAUUCAACAUAAUGAAUAUGCAUAGACAAAUAAGGUAAUACAUACAUACUUCUCAUUCCAAAUAUUCAUUGAAGCGAUUGUACCACAUGCCUUUAGAUUGCUUAAGGAUCUUUGUAGCUUUAUUGAGCAUAUGCUACAAUGUUUUGAAUUAGUUGCUUUAGGCAUUUGAAAUCCUUCAGGGAUUUUCAUAUAUAUGUCAUUAUCUAAAGAUCCAUAUGAAUAUGUAGUAAUGACAUCCAUGAGACACAAAUCCUAUCCUUCUGAGACUACUAAACAAAUUAAAUAUCUAAAUAUGGUUACGCCCAUCAUAGGAGAAUAUAUUUACUCGUAAUCAAUAUCACGUUUCUACAAGAAACCUUAAGCUAUGAGUCAUAUAUGUUUUAUGUCUCAUGAUUUCAUUUUCUUAUUGCACUUUCUUAUAAACACUCAUUUAUAUCCAUCAAGUUUGAUAACUUCAGGCUUUUAGACAACAAGUCCAAAUACUUCUCAUUUUCUAACGAGUCUUAUUUUGUUGGGAUAUAUUCUUUCCAUUUUGGCCAAUAUUUUCUAUGUUGGCAUUCAUCCAUAGUUUUUGGUUUGGAAUCCUCAUUAUUUAUUAUGAUGUCAAUAGCCACUUGGAAAGAAAAUAUAUUGUCAAUGACAAGAGUAUUUCAAUCCUAUUUUUCUUCAUAUAUAAGUAGAUAAUUGAGAUCUCAUCACUAUUAGGUACUUGUACCUUUUCAAGAGCUAAUUAUAAAAUAUAUGCCUCUCUUAGGGCUACUUGUUUAAAUUGUGCCACUUCAAGGGCAACUUAAGACCGAUCAGUCAUUUUAACAACCCAUUUUAUAUGCAACCUCUUCAAGAGUGACACCUUUUAUAUAUUUUUCCUUGUGUUUUCCUCUUCUAGGCAAUUUGUUUACCUCUUCAAGGUCUAUCACUCUUCAAGCAUGCCUUAGACUCAUUGUUUAAUUGUCUUUUAAGGACAUCAAUUCGUACUAGAACAUUAUCAGUAAGUGAAAAUGAUUUUGUCACUUUCUUUGCAUCAAGGAAAGCAUUUGGUAGUUGAUUUGCAAGUCCUUGCAAAUGAAUAAUCUUUUAAACUUCUAGUUCUCAUUGAUUAGUACGAGGGUCAAGAUGAGUUAAAGUUAAUGCAUUCCAAAUAAUUUCACAUUGUUCUUCUAGAACUGACUCUUCUCCCCCUAAAGGUGGGAAAAUUGUCUCAUUAAAAUGAUAAUUUACACAACUUGUCAUUAUACCUUUCAAGUGUAUAGGUAGACUAAUCACUAGAUAAAAACUUCUGGUUUUAUAAUGUAAAUCCAUACAACUUUACAAAUAAUUAAUGCAUUAUCUUUUACCCCGGGAGACUAAGUUGCUCUUGCAAGAUUGUUCUGGAUCUAGCAUAGUAUAAAGUGUCAUUCACAUAGAAUCAAAUACUACUAGUGACAUAGUAUAAGCUCUUUUUAAGCCUUUAAUUAAGUUUAUAUCACUUGAUAUAGUAUUAACAUUGUUUAUCAUUAAUAUUCUGUAAUUAAUGAGACAAAAGUUUCAUCAAAAUAAUAAGUUAUAAAAUAUAUCAUAAAGACUUUGCCCUUAUAGAGCUGAAGAAAAAUUAUUAAAUGGGAGCAUUUUAGACGAUGAGGGAACCAUUUUUUUCUUUAGAGAGGGUUGUAGAGUGUCUGGGCAAGAAGAUUGAGAGGAGAAAUGGGUGUCUGGAGUGGUAAAGAUAACAGGAGUUGAAACAGAGCAGAGAACUAAAGAAACUGAAGAAGAAGCAGGGGAGGAGCUUGUCAGUUCGGUCCAGGUAUGAUUACAGCAUUCUUUAUAUUUUCUCAUUUCAGACUGUUCUAUCUUGUUUCCUACUGAUUUUGGGUUCAUUUGGAUGCUUGAAUAUGGACAUCAGAUACCAUGUAUGUUUAUGGAAUCUAUGACCAUUUUUAUGCAUUUUUUUUAUUUUUUUUUUUGCCUGAUUCUAGUCUGGCUCUUUUGGCUUUGCUUAUGAACAACUUGAGCAUUCCUCUGUUUUAUGAAUGACUUGAAUAUGGACCCAUCACUGAAUCUGAUUAUCAAAAAUCACAUUCUUGCUUCCUUUUUAUUCCACCUGUAUUAGCCCAUGGAUGUCACUUGAAAUGAGGCUCUAUACGUUCAUGAUUUUCUUGAUUUCCUUUGGCUAUUUCUUCAGUCCUUGCCUUGCUCUUAUCUCUUUUUUUUUUAUUCCCCUAUUUCUGGUAAGUUCGAGGUGUGAGGAUCUCAUUUGGGUUGGCCAUCUUGUUUGGGGUGAUUAUGAGAAAGUACUUUUCAUACGGUUGGGAAUUUUCGGGUGCCUGAAAAACUAUGUGGAUCGCAUUGGAAAGUCUAGAUAAGAGAAAAAAGACCUGGGUUUAAUUAUCGUGAGAACAUUAGUGUUGUGAAUGCUUUGGUCAAAGUCUCUACUGUGCUUUGAACUUGGAUUGUAAUCACUACAUCAAUAAUAGUAAGGUUCUUAAGGAGAUUGUGCUUGGUUCAAAUAGUCAAAUCAGAACUGCCUGUUACCGAAUCUGCUCUUCAAUGUUGGUACAGGAGAUAUUUGGUAUCUCCUCAUACAAAGGUGGAGCAUCAUUUGUGUCUGUCACGCAAAUUAUGUUCUUAUUUGGGCAGUCAAUCAUCUCGUCAAUAGUCAGAUAGAAAAAUACUAGCUGGGAUUGCAAGCAGCUACAACUCAGUUCACCCGUCUGCAAUGAGGUGAUGAAGAAGGAAAGUAGAUGAGUCUUCAAUGUAAAUGACUUACCACUGGAACAAGGCCAAAUUCUGCCUUCAGAUUUGUUCAAACUUCAGCACCAGAUUUUUGAAAAGCAGGAAUUUCUAAAACAUGCAAAUGAGGAGAUUUCGACAUGGGUCCUAUUGAUGUAAAAAUGCACCUAGCCUCAUUUCUAUCUCCCCGUCCUCCAUACACACUACUUUCUCUCACCUCCUCCUACCCAACAUACCCAUCAUACCCAUUAACAUGCUCGCCACUUUCAGUUUAUCCCCCAUACCAUACUCACCUCCAUUAACUUAACCCAUUCUUCUUACCCGCCAAACACCACUCAAUCCCCUUAGCACCUUUCCAUCAUGCAUUCCUCACUCUUUACUUUCUCCAUAAAUUCAGCAGCUCACCAGGAAAGCUCCCCAAAGACGCCAACAUUUCCACCCUCAUUCUCUCUCUACUUUCCUUGUUCCCUGUUCCUUGUUCCAGCCUCUCUCUCUCUCUCUCCAAAUUCACAGUCGGUUUUAGUUUUUCUAUUCUAGAAAUUCUCUCCACUUUCUUUGACACUAAUGUGGUGUGGGUGGUGUAGAAUCUUGAAAUCAUAACAGCAUAUCGAAAAUGUGGUGGAGGCAAAUCAUCAGCAACAGGAUGGGAGUUUCAUGGCAAGCUGGGUUGCCUAGAUUCUUCUCUAAAUCCACUCCUUCUAUAGUGAAGGUUGGAAUACUAGAGUUUCUUAAUGGAAUAAGUAAAGGGGUUGAGACCCAUGUGGCUAAGCUUGAAACUGAGAUAGGAGACUUUUAGAAGCUGCUUGUCACCCACACUCUCAGGCUUAAGAAACUCGGCAUUCCUUGCAAACAUCAGAAGCUGAUCUUGAGACACACCCACAAGUACGGGCUAGGAUUAUGGAGGCCUCGGGCAAAGCCCAUCAAAUCUCAAUCUUCUUAAGUAUCAUAAAGCUAGUCUUGUGAGGACAUGUGCAUGAGACGGUGGCAUUGGCAUAUGGUACAAGCUGCAUCAGAUUCACUUUAGAGAUGGAGACAUGGCUCCUCAUUCCGCUUUAUUUAGAGACACACGUGGCUUUCCUUCAUUCUUUCCCUGCUUGUUUUUUUAAGUCAAUUUCAAAAUCCCACCCUUAUGAAUCAUUCCCAAAGGCCACAUGUUCUCAAUUCUUUAAUUCUUCAUCCUUGCUUUCAAAAUUUUGGUAUCAAAAGUCCAACUUUCAAAUAAUCUCAAUUCCUUAAUUUUUUUUUCUUUUUUUUUUCUAUUUUAUUUUAUUUUUAUUCUUCCUUAGAAUUUUAGGUCACCAAAAUCCUUAUUUUAAUAAAUUUUGCUACCAUUUUUCUCUUCAACAAGCAUUUUUACAAACUUUCUUAAUUCUUAAUAAUUUUCCGAUUUUCAUGUUUUGAAUAAGUAUGAAUAAAAUUCUAUAAUUCCAAAUAAUUAAAUUUAUAGAGUUAAUUCAUACUAAAAUAAAUCGGGUUCUAUUAGUGCCCAACAUAUGUGAUUUUCUCAAUGAUUGAUUGAUUGUUAUGCUUGAUUUACUUAUCUUACUCUAUAACAUGCAUGUGAUUAUUAUGUGUUCGUUCACUAACCUUUGUUUUCCACAAAGCAAUUAGCUCAUUACUCAACUACACCAUCUGUCUUUCUUGUUCAUUCGAUUAUUUUUAGAUUGAUAUUCUUUUAGUAUCCAUGUUUAAUCAAUUAAUUGUCACACUUGCUUUAACUUAAUUAGUAGAGACCUGAUUCUUAAGGCUUAGAAGGGUGCUACGGUCUAUCAUCGUACCUUCCCAAUAGGAAACCCAACCCCCGAGCCCAGAUUUGGUUUUUCGCAGACUAUUUUUUCCAAAUAAGGAGUCACACUUAGGGGUUUCUUUCUUAUUUUGUUUGCCUUUUACAAAUAAAACAAAAAUAAAUAGCGACUCCAAAAACUUUUCAAAAAUCAAUUUUCAAAAUAAAAAGCGAGUCGCGCCAUUCGAGUGGAAGCACAUGUGCAGAAAUACAGGGUCCACAAUAUUAUUUUAUAUGACUCAAAAUUUUCAAUCAUAAAAAAAAUGUUUUAAAGAAAAUUGACAUGCAAAAUCAAAUUAUUAAUCAUAUGACCAAGUCAUAUAUUUCACAUGUAUCCAAAACAAAUAAUCAAAAUUUUCAACUCAUAAUUUCAUUAUUAAAUUCUCAAUAAGUAAAUCCAAAUAAAAGAUUCUAUCCAGAAUUUUCAAGAUAUAAGUACAUAUGUUAUCCAAAAAUCUCAACUUUUUAAUAUGAAACAAGCAUAUUUUGCAUUAGAUAUUGGAAAAUAAAGAUUAAGAUUAAUCUCAACUAUUAUAUCAAAAGAUUAUUGUGUAUUAAAUAACUAGAAUAAAAAAAUAUUUCAAAAUAUCACCUCUAACUCAAGAAUAUUUAGUAUAAAUAUCAUACUUUCAUGCAAUCCAAAAUUCUAUAUCUAUAUGUAAAAAUUUCUACUAAUGAUAGUAUAACUUCUAAUAAUAGGAGUUUAUAAAAAAAAUUAUCAAACACUUACCUAUUUGUAUAGCUUGAUAUACAAAAUAUUAAUCUUUUGAUAAUAUUUAAAUAUUAUCUAUAUGUUGGUUAUCAUAGCUUUAGGUUAUAAUAUAUUUCAUUAUAACUUUUGGUUAUAUGAAUUUCAUAAAGUUAUACAAAAUUGUUAGUUAACAAUUUUGUUGUUUAUAACUUUUAGCUAUAAGAAAAUACAUAUUAACAAUUUUGUCAUAACCUUUCAUUAGUACAAAGAAUAUUAAUUUUCUCAUUUUCAUAACUUAAUAAAAUAGAGAUCUCUCUUAUUUUAUAAUAAUUUGAGAUUAGAGAUCUCCAAAUUCAAAUAAUUUGCAAAGUUCUAUUAAUAAAAUAGAGAAAUCCCUUUUUAAAACCAAACAUAGAAUUUCUUUUUAAUAAUUUUUUUUUUCUUUUCCUAAAUCAAAUUAAAGAUAGAAUAAAUCAUUUUUAAAAAAUAAAAAAGAAUUUAAUUAUCUUUUGUUUAAAAAAAAAACAUUUUCCUAUCAAAUUCUUUUUUUACCAAUAAAUUUGGAAUGAAUUUUAAUACUUUUGUAAAUAAAAUUGUAACAAUUCUCUUCCUAAUAAAGAUAGAUAAGAAUUAUUUUCCUAUAAAUAAAAUGGAAUCCCCUUUUUUUUUAAUUUGUUUUAACUUCCUUGAAAAUUGAAUACAAAUAAAAUUAAAUCAAAACCUUUUAAUUUCAAUUUAUAUAUAUAUAAAUUGAAAUUAUUCAUUCCAAUUUAUUUUUAAUUUAAAUUAUUCUUUUUUUAAUCAAUUUAAUAAAUAAAUUUGCAUAAUUUUCUUGUCAUUUACCUUAUAUAUUCUUGUAAUCUAUUUUAUGAUUAUUUUCCUAUAUAUUGAUUUAUGUCCUUAAUCUUGGUAUUUAUGAUUAAUUAAUUAAUUGUCACGGUUCGCUUUAUUCAUUUAUUAAAGAUCGUAGAUAUAUAAGGGUGUUAUAAUUUAGCAUCGUACCUUUUUGAUAAAAAACCUGACCCCCAAAUCUAGACUCAAUUUUUACAUACAUGUCUUUUUCAAAUAAGUCACAUAGAGUUUUCUUUUUUAGUUUGUUUUCUUUAAAAAUAAAAAUAAAAAUAACUAAAAUAAGUAGUGACUCUAACUUUUUUUCAAAAAAAAUCAAUUUUUCAUAAAUAAAAAUCGAGUCUUGUCAUUUCAAGUGGGAAUGCACGUGAGAAAUGUGGGUCCACAAUAAUAUGACAAUGUAAUAAGAUUUACAAAAUAAAUAAAUAUUUUUUUAGCAAGAAUAUAGAAAAUCUUAUAUCUUAAAUCUCUAAAUUUGUUUAUUAUGUAAUUAUUUUUAUAUUAUAUUUGUUCUCAUUAAUUAUUUAUUAUAUAUUUAAAAUUUUCAUAAAUAAUUCAAAUCAAUACAUAUAAAAAUAUGAAAUUGUGAAAAAAAAAUUGAAAUUAAAAAAAAAAAUUGAUGAAGCUAACGCAUUAGAAAAAGCAUAAUGGUGAAAACAUUAUGGAGGAGAAAAAAAAAAGAAAAAAAAAUUAUGUAGUAUAGGUGGUUGCCACAUGUUAAUUUUUUUUAAAUAAAAAAAUAAUGAUGAGGAGUUUUAACUUGUCAUGUCAAAGUAAAAGAAAAAAAUAUAAAUAAAUAAAAUUUUAUGGUGGUUGGUGAUAGAAAGAGAGGAAACUUAAAGGGUAAUAUUGUCAUGUUUAUAAUUUUUACCAAGAGUACAUGAGGAUUAUUUUCCCCUAAAUACAUGCACUUUCAAUGUAAAAUGAUUAAACUUCUUCAAUAUUUUAUAUUUUUUAGAUAGUGCAUGUUUACAUCAUUCUCACCUUUCUUUACACCUAUUUCAGUAAAUUAUUAAUAACAUUAUAAAAAUAUGGUAACAAAUUCUCAUUUUUCAUACAUUAGUUUGUGCCAAGAGAUCGCCACAAAUGAAAAGUCUAAUUUUCAUCAAAUAAUUUUUAAAAAUAAAAUAAAAUUCAUCUUUUACAAAAAGAGACCAGGUGGUGUUGAGAUGAAUGAAAGUUGUAUUUUCAUUAACUAAUUUCCAAAAUUAAAAUAAAAUAAAAAUCAUCUUCUAAAAAAAGAGAAUAUUUUUACUUUACAAAAAAAAAAAUAGCAAACGAAUAGUCUUUGAAGAAGGCAAUUUUAGAAUAAAUUUCUCAAGGAAUAUUCUAGCAAAAACAAGCUUUUAUAACGUUAUCAUGAUUUUAUCAAAGAAAUACAAACAAAUUGUUUCUUAAGAUACAAUUUUCUUACUACAUUAAAUUAUUUUUCAAACAGAGAUUAAAAUAUAAAAAAAAUGCUUACUUUUGUUUUAAUUUAUAAUUUAAUUUUAUUAAAUAAGAUUAAAAAUUUAAAAAUAACUAAAAUUUAGAGGGUGUUUGUUUUUUUAGCUUUUUACUGAAAGCAAUUUAUUUUCAGAUUUUAAGUCGUUCGUUUUUGUACUUUUCUAUGACUUAUUAUAAAGUUUUUGUUGAACAAAAAAACCAAAAUAUUUAGCUUUUUAUAAAUAGAUAAAAGUAACAUAUUGAUUUUUCUUUAUUUUUUAAUGUUUAAUAGAAAUAAAAUAUUAUAAAAGCAAACAACUUAAUACUUAACACUAUUAAGCCUUAAAGUUCUAUUUAGAAUUAAGUAAAAAAAAACAAACACUACCUUAAUCUUUUUAUUCAUAAUUUGGAAACCAUUUUUUUGGUAAAAAUAAUAAAAAUAUAUAUAAAAAAUAUUAAUUUCUUAUAUUUAAACUGAAUUCAUUUAAAAUAAUUUUCAAGAUAAGAUUCAAGAUUAAGAUAAAUAAUUUUGUAAUUGAUAUUUAAUUUAAUAUAAAAUAGUAUUUAUUUUUAUGCUUAUAAUUUUUAUGUGUUAAUUAUAAAUGAUAAAAAAAAAUAUAUAAUUUAAAAAAAAAAAAAACAACAACAAAAAACAAAAGAACCUAACCCAUACUCACUUUUUGUACCCCUUCCACUUGGCUCUUCUUUCUUUCUCUCAACCCCACUAUCUUUCUCCUUGUUAAGAACCCUGGAUUACUCCAUUCCCAUACCUUAGAUCUCGUACGGUGCAUGCAUGUAUCCCUAAGCAUAUAUAAAUCUAUUUUAGUGGAAUAAAAUGACAAUAAAAACCAUUAUCUAGAAAUAUGAACCUCAUACUUGGAUUUGGAUGUUUUUAAAUCAAUUUAUUGUGGCAAAGAACAUGUCUAAAUAGUUUGGAGGUCUCAUACACCCAAGAUCUUCCUCCAAUGACUCGAACUACAAUAUUGGUACUCCAAAGUGUGGGCUUUGGAAGAGUGGAAACCUUAACUAUCUCUCUCUUUCUAGAGGUGAAAGAUGACUAACUAAAGUCAUUUGGAAACCCUAACCCUUUAAGGGGGUAUUUAUAGGGUUGCCCACUAGGCUUAAGUGACUUGAGCCUAUCAAGGACUAGGUCACUUAAUCUAAACCAAAACGUGUCCUAAUUGAUUAAUUAACCAUAUAAAACCAUCUAAUUAAUCAAUUAGCUUAAUCUAGAGACCUUGUUCAUUAUCUUCCUAUGCAGGCUUGUAUAAUUACCAAAACACCCUUAUGCACAACAAUGAACCUAGAGUUAAUCCAACCCUCGUAAACCAUGUCAUCAUGGCAUAUGAGCUCAGAGUGAGGACCACUAGAACCCAUUACUAACUCCCUUAAAAUCCAAUUAUGAAGUUGAUUCAACAUUCCACUAAAAAGAAUCAUCUGUACUCUAGUACCAUAUGUAAAUAACAAUAAGAUGAAACUCAAGUCUGUGACCAACUAUCCACUGCAUGCAGACUCCCCAUGAAUCGGUGUCUAUAAUCUAACAAGGUAGUGUUAUUACCUAUAAAGAUUACUUCUCAAGUCCUUGAGUUACAUAUCCCACUUAUUAUAUGAUCAACUUACACACUCUAGUUCUAAGGAGUAUAUAUCAAAUUCCACUAAAUGAAUUACUAUGGCUAUAGAUUUCAUGAUCACACGUCUUUUAAAUCACCCAAGGAAACACACCAUCUCAAUCUCUUGAGAUAUGAUGGUGUCUCUAUUGAGAAUACCUAUGGUCACUAGCUUCCAUCAACAUUAACCCAAUUCAUAGGGAUAUAUGACCAUUUUAGGGUCUCACCAAAGCCUCCUGUUAAUUUUGGCACAAGUUCAAUAUUUUCUCAAGGUUGAGAGUCCAAGCAGUAUAGUAGCCUAAUGAAUCAUGACAAUUAAUAACCUUCCAUGAUGAUUUACCAUAGGUCAUGUCCAGUGUGCAUCACAUGUAUUGUUACACUCACCAUGGGAAACCUAUCCCGAUGGUCAAGAAAAUUUAUCACUUCAAUUAGGAGGUGGUGCACUAUAGUCUCUAUUGGAUUACCCAAAUCCAUAAACCGACUAUGUACAACUUAUCUACUUACAAGGAACUCAUGACUUAUAUCUUUUGUACAACUCCUAAUACACACAAGUCAUAUACAAUAUAAGAGACAUGGGUUGAAUGUCCAAAUCAAUGUUAAUACACCAAAAGGAUAGUAAAAUAACAGUUAAGUCUAACUUUGUUACAUCAUAUCUAUCUUUUAGGGGCUCAAUCGCAACAAAAUUUCACUAGCCCUAAAAGCAAACUAAGCACCAUAUAAAGAUUUUGCUCCAUAGUCAUAUCACCUCCUUAUACUAUCUCACAAUAAGGUAAUACUUCAUCUUUAUGUGUUUCCUCUUCUAAUGGUACUUUUAUUUUUUAAACUAUGCCAUUGUUCCAUUGUUAUCAUAUAACAGGAUUUUAGACAAUAUAGCUAAGGGAACUACCCAUAGACUAAAAGGCUUCCUUUGUUACUAUAGAAGCAACAAAACCACUUAAAAUGUACACAUACCCAAAGAUAGACCUAUAAGAAUCCCUAUCAGACUAAAAGUCCAAUUUCCCAAUACGAAAUGAGUACUAACUCAUCUCAAAGACUUAAAAAAAUAUAAUACCUUGUUCUCCAAAGAUACUUGAGUAUAUGUGUGACAUCUGCCCAAAACUCUAAUCAAGAAAUGGACUAAUAUUCACUCAUUAUUCCUACAACAAAGCAAAUACUUGGUCUAGCAUAUAGCAUUGCAUACUUAAGGUUGUCCAUUAUAAAGGCAUAAGAGGCCUUAAUGCAAUCUCUCUCCAUAGAUGUCUAAGGACAUUGAUCCUGAGAAAGACAACUCCAAACUCAAAGGGUAACAAAACCCUUCUUGGAUUUCUGUAUCAUGUACUUGACCAAAUGUUCAUCAAUGUAGGUGACAUGGUGCAAUUUUCCAAUUCUUGUAGUCUUAAAGGACCUUAACCCCAAGAAUGUAUUAACUCUAGAUUUUUUUUUAGAACUGAGUAAACUACUAGAUCUUGACUAAUGAUAAUAUCUUCGCAUCAUAUCCAAUGAGUAGAUUGUCAUCACCUACAAGAUCUUAGAACAUCACCACGCUUCCCUGUGCCUUCUUAUAUACACAAGGCCCUUUGAUAUGAAAAUGUUUGGUUGUUAUAUCUCAUAAAUGAGACACAAUGCAAUAUAUAAGAGUAAUCUGAUGGAUUGAGUAUGACUACUAUUGAAAAGGUUUUCCAUAGUUGAAACAAAGUUUCAAACUAUAACCUUUAGUUACAAUCUUAGCCACAUAAAACUCAAGCUUUCCAUCUACUCUUAUGUUCCUCUUGUAGGCCAACUUACACCUAUGGGUUUUAUCCCUUUAGGUGCUUCUAUAGGAACUCAAACUAUGUUAGAAUACGAAGAUUCUAACUACCUCUUCAUCAUAAUCUAUGGGAUAUAAACCUUCCACUAUGAAGUAUUGGUGUACUAGAAAUCAUAGGAAUGAUAUGUCUUUAACCCUUUGGAUCCAUAGUAUACUAAACAAUGUGGGACUAUCUUCUAAUAUAUCCUUAAAUCUAAACAAAUAUCUUCUUAUAAUCCCGACUAUAAAGGUAAUAACCCCAAAAUCUUCUUAGAUAUCCUAUAAACUGAUAUACCUAUUAAGAAAAAGAGGUAGUACACAGUCUAUAAGACAUAUCCUCAAAGGAAUAUGAGAAAAGAUGAGAAACUUAUCCACAAUCUCACUAUGUCCAUCCAAGUUUGAUAUCUUCUUUCCACCUCUCCAUUUUACAAUAGAGACCUUAGUGCACAUAACUAGGAAAUAAUUUCAUGCUCCAAUGGAAAAAAUCAAACUCACUAGACAAAUCACCUUAAUCUAAUUGAAGUGACUUGUUAUGUAUACGCAAUAUGUUAUCCAAUCUCGCCUUAAAUUCAAUGAAUGUAUCCAAGUCAUUGGAUUUCCUAUGUACAUAUCCAAACCUAGAGAAAUCAGCACUAAAAGUGAUGAAAUACCCAUACCCUCUCCAUCCAUAGACACUCAAAGUUUCAUACAUGUCAGUAUGCACUAACCCUGAACAUUCCUUGACUUUAGUUCUCUUAGUCAUUUUACCAUUUAUACAAAAUUCGCAAAUUGGUAGAUCUUUUAAAAUGAAAGAGUUCAAACUUUACCGAUCUUUGGAUCCUAUUUAGAUUAAUAUGGCCUAGGUCUAAAUACCAAAUGUUUAAUUAAUGUUAGGUUCAAUCUUGAGAUCUCACUAUUCUUAUUACUUGGAAAAGUGAUAAUGGAAUUCACAAAAAAGAAAAAAUAUAUUAUCUCUUACUAACAUGCACAACUAACCUUACAUUUGAAGUUAAGGUAAGUAUAAUCCCAUCAUUUAACCUUCUCACUUAUUAAAUAUCCUAUAAGGACUUACAGACAAUGGGUCUGGAAUCUAUCCACCAUAAAUGGUGAAAUCCACCACUAAAUAUUCAACAAUGAGAAAAUAAUGUAUACUUUCCUUUUUCCUUUAAGUAAAUUGGGGACUCCUUUUCUAGUGUCCCAAGAGGUUACAAAUGAAUUACUUGCCCUUGAGUUUGCUCUCUUAUUCCCUGUCUUGAACUUUUCUUAUUUGGUGUUGUUAUUCUUCUUCUUAACAAAAAAAAAAAAAAAAACUUAAGAACCUUUGACUUCCAUAUAAACACCCUAUAAUCUUUGAGAAUCCUCUUGGCCACCUCGAAGGAAAAUGGUAAGGUCUUUAAGAUUAUAUGAAUAUUGGUGUUCAUAACAAUCUUAAGAGUAGUUUGUCAAAGAUAACCUACCCUUAUCACCAAAUAACCAUUCAAACUAGAAAGAGAAUAUCCAAGUCUCUAAUAAUAGACAUGUGUUGCUAUUGCAACACAUUAUCCAAAGAUCCAAGUGUUAGACACUUGGUCUUCUGAUUCAUCUAAUACCACCUUAAUAUAUCACUCUUUCCUUUUGCUAGGUUAGUCCAUAAGGAAUAACUACCUCUUCCUAAAUUAGCUUCUAUAUAAUUAGUUACUAUAUCCAAAAUAAAAUUAGUUCAAUUGAUUAGUUAGGCUUGGUUUAUUUUGAGAAAGACAAUGAUAAUACAAUCAACAUGGUAUCUCUAAAAAAGAAUAUAACCAAGCAUAUGACGUAAUUAAGCAUUCAAGGCAUUUGGUAAUUAAUUUAGCAAAAAUGUAGUAUUAAUAGUUGUUUAGAAAAUUUGCAACAACCUAAUAGUCAUUCAAUUAUGACUUUCUAUAGAUAUUGUUCAAUGUGUAAACCUUCUUGAUGACUACGACAAAUCUCUCCACCAUUUUGAAGGUAGUGCAUUACAAUCAAAGUCUAUAAACCAACCAUGACUACUUAUUGCUUUGUAAGGAAUUAAAAACUUAAAUCUUUUAUACAGUCUAAUUCACUCAAGUCAUGAUGUACAAUACAAGUGGUAUAAGCCUAAAUACUCAAAACAAAUAAAUAAUGCAAGCACGAUAGGAAAAUAACUGAUAUCAUAAAUAAUAAUAAAAAUUGUUACAUCAUAUCAUAGUUCUAAAGGUUGUAUCUUUACAAAUUGUAAUGUGACAAUCUAUAUAAAUAUAAAGAGAUUUUAAACAACAUAUGGGUGAACUCAAAGUUUUCCAUCCAUUGAGAGGCAAUGAGCAGUCGCAAAGAGACUUAUUCAUGGCAUGUUCAUAAUUAUAGUAAAUAUUAUGUAAACUAUAUGUGAAGGUACUAGUAUAUUAUCUCUAUCAAGAUGGUUUUCUUUCAUUCUGAAGUGUCAAUGAGUGUUAUUAUAUAAGUAAUUGAAAUAAAGUAUUUACUCUAUAUUAGUAUUAUGUGGACACUUCCAAAAUUCGUAUUUUUUAUCAACACAAAAACAUACAUUAUUUCUUUAUUAUUUUAUCGUUUCUUAGAGUUUUUUUUAAUAUUUUUAUCAAUUUUGAGUAAUUUCAUCCCACCAAUAUUUUUCCAGAAUUCUCAUCCGUUAUUUCCUAAAAUAUUUAUAAGAUCCGGUCACUGAUUUUUCUAUUUUAUUAAUAUUUUCAUCCUCAAAUUUCAAUAUAUUGACGUUACGCUCCCUUACACCUGUAAUGCCUUCUUAGUGCAAAGAAAAUCCAGAAGUAACCUGUCUCAAUCUACUUACAACAUUCAAUUUGGUUGAAGUACAUAUAUGUACACACAUCAUAUUCAAAGGUAGAACUAACAAUAUAGGAACAUUCUACCAACAAGCAAGGAAAUAUUUAGAUGCUAAUUAGCUCUAGAAUUUGGGUGGUCAUCCAGGGGCAUGACCACUUAAGAUGAUAAUACGUCACACAUACUCCAACUGAUCAACCAGCUGAAAUCAACUGACGGUUGAUUUCAUUCUUCGCAUACUACUUUUACCGCCAUUUUCCUCACCAACUAACUUAUUGAUUUGGUGCAGCAAUAUAUCAAAGUCAUCUUGGGUCUUGAUGAGGCUGAGCCGAACAUAGCUACUAUUAGCACUAAACAAAGUACCAUUACGCCCAAUGAUGCCAGCCUUUUUCAGGACUCUGUAACACUCUUUAUCUUCUUCUUUCUCGCACUUCAGCCAUGCAUAAGCUGCCAUGAGUACAGAAUUGUUCACUUGCAAAUUUCAAUAUCUUGUAAUUGACAGAUAAUUAAGCUCAUCAAGAUUAUUCAGUAUGAUUCCAAGUACUUAAUUAAAUAGUAGACAUGAUUAAAAGGUUUUGAUUCUUGAUGAAAAUGAGAAAUCACCUGGAGAAGGUCUCUUGACUUUGCCAGAAAAAGUGCAGUAUUGCGGUGAACUUUCCUGGACAGAGAAACGUCUGGACAUCAGCAAGGCCCUGUUCAAUUUUUCCCACCGGUCUUUCAUUGUUUUGUAACCGAAUUCGAAUAUUUCUCUUCCUCUCCCUCGAGUCACUACUUUUAAAAGCUUGAAAGCUCUUAACUGAGUGUCCCGGGAAACACCAUCGACGUUCAAACUCAUAUAAUUUGACAUUGUCUCGUACACAUCCUUAUCCUUUAUCAAUGCCCACCUGCAAAAAUAGCAACAAUAUUGUAACCACUUUUUUCUAGUAACCAAUAGUUUGUGGCAAAUGGGUGUAGUAAAGUCGUGUAAACCAUGGAUAGAGAUGUAAGAAAUAAUAAGAGAUACUUGGUGGAGCGAGGGGGCUCGUAGUUUAGGGUGUGAAUAGAAGGAAUGGGGAAACACAGAAUAUUUCAGAAACUCAAUAGUUGUGUUUGGUUCUCUUCUCUGUGAUGUUUGUAUGGUAUAGUAAAAAUAUUCUCUCCAUAGAUGUAGACAUGAUUAACCAAACCACAUUAAAAUUUUGUUUAUCUUUGUGUGGAAUGGUUUAUCAUUGUGUUCUUGAACUAACGUUGUUUACAUUAAAGCUUCCGUCAGUACAACAACUUCUAGUCUUUCUAGCCUUUAGAGUCUUUCACUUACUAAAAAUGUUAGAAACGCUUCCUAAAAUCAUUGUCAAAUGAAUUCUAAGUUAUGUGUAAGUAGAGUGAUAAUGCAUAUAUAUGGUUGUUAGGUACCCGAAUCUACUCCCAGCAUGACCAGUAAGCUUAGAAAAGGUAAAUAUCAUGAGGUCUUCAUCUGCAGGAGCAGGAAUUGGUGUGAAAUGCGGCCAGUAAUAGGCAUGAUCGUAAAUGGGUUUGGCAUUAGGGCCUUGAAGAACUGCCUUAUUCAACUUUCCAUCAGGAUUAUUGGGUGCAGUCACAAACUCGAUGAGAUUGGAAGUGG